rnacentral:lncRNA from 1 species
UAUAACUGAUGGUAACAUUUUGUCUCUUCUUCUUCUCCUCAUUCCUCUGCUGCAACUCCAACUGCAACUGAAACUGCCAAUUCUUAUUGCUCAAUAGGGGCAAGCGCAGGCAUUUACAUCUCCAUUUCCAUUUCCAAUCCUGAGUGUUAUUGGAAUAAUGAAAGAGGGAGCCCGAGCCCUUACCUUCCACACGCUCAUUCUUUCCUUGCUUUUUCAAUUGAAUAUUUUCUGUGGCCUGGCUUGGCCUGCUCCUCCCCUGCUUCCACCUCUAUGAUACUACUAUGACUCCAAAAAUUUUUAUAUAAUUAUUUAUUGGGCUUAUUCCACUAUUAUAUGAAAAUUUUACUGAUAUUCCUCGAAAAUCAAGAUGAUAAUACUUCGUCUGAAACGAAUAUCAAGUGGUUUACUAAAAUACUCCGGGUGAUUGGUAUUUCCGUCCAAUAAUUUUUGCAAACUCAUCCCAUUUUUUUUUAAAAAUAAUUAUAAAGCAUAUGUGCUAUGUUUAAAAAUUUUCAAAUAAAGAAGAAUUUUAUAGAAUUAAUUAACAAAAUUUAUUUUAAUUUACUUUCUCCUGAUUUAGAUUAUUUUAUUAUAUUUGGUUACAAAGAUUGUUUUGUCAUAAAUUUAAAUUAACUGUUUUACCCUUAGAAGGUAAAACUAUUAAGAAUUUACUUUAAUUUCAAUGUUUUUCUAAUUUUAUACCAAACUCAUUGUUUCUGAUACUACGUUAUUAAUAUGAGUUUUAAUCUUUAAUUAAACUAAAAUAGUAUCUUUAGGGCAUGAUACUCAUGUUAAUUAUUGGGAUGUCAAUUUUAUGUUAUUUACACAUAAAAGUAGAGAAAAUAACAAUUAGAUUUUAUUUUAAAAUAUUAUAUUAUAAGCCACAAAAUUAGAUACAUAAAUUAUUAGAUACAAUAACUCGUGUUUAUUAUGGUAAUUUAGUCGCUAUAUAUCAUAAUAAUAAAAUACUAAAAUAAAACUUGUAUUAAACUUUAUGAUUAAAAAUGGUCAAAUAACCUAAGAAGAAAAUCAAUAGAAGGAUUUUACCGAUUAACUAUAGAAAAUUUUUAUUAAUUUGUAUUUUUUUAAAAACAUUGUGAAUUCAUUACAAUUAGUUUCUAGAAGUAGGGUGGAUUUAUAAAAAUAGUAAGGUGCAAAUAUCCUUACCCAAAUACUACAUAGAAAGUGAAAACUAUUACCUUUUUCGCUGUACUUCUCUUGAAUUUUUUUUUCCUAAGAAUAAACUUUAAUUCAUCCCCAAAUAAAAUGAUAAUCUCUAAUUUGCUCUCAAUGUAAACCUCAAUUUAUUCUUCAUUUCCGUCCAAAAGAUGAGGGGCAAAUAAGGAAUGUGUUGAUGAAUUUGUUUUUUUAAUCUUUUUAACAAUAAAUGGGGUAAAUUGAUAUUUUUAUACUUUUAGGUGAUAAAUUAAAGAUUUUUAUUCUGAAUUGGGGGCAAAUUAAAAUCUAUCUUAUUUCUAAAGGCACCACGUGAUUUGGCAAAAUAACUAUAAAGAUAUUUUGUUUUUAGAAAAGGUCACAAUGUCUCUUUUGAGAUACACAAAUUCUCUUUUAGAUAAAACAUUAGGAUUUGUGUGAUUAUUACUGAACCAAAAGGGUUUGUGUUUCAAAAAAAAGAUUAUGUGACUAUUUUGCCUAACCGAGAGAGCCAUUAUUCAAACACCAAUCUCAUUUUUUUUUUUUUAACAAACACACUUUCAUUUAUUCUUUAAGCUUCUUUUUUUUCCCCCAAAAAAUGAUGAAUAGAUAUUGAAAUUUUUGUUUUCAUUUUUUUUUAUUGAAAAAAUGAAAAACAACAAAGAUUACUGCUUCCUUGUUUUUUCGUCCUAUAUUACCUUAAUUUUAUAUCGUUUUCUCUAUUUUUAUUUUAUAGUCCAAUUCUGAAAAUACACUAUUAGACACAUUUUUAAAUUCAAAAACACAAAACAUAGUAAAUCAUUUUCAUUAUAGGCAUUAACACCUGACGUACACAUUCUCCAAAUGGGAUUAAUGGAAAAAUAAAAAUAAAAAAGGUGAGCCCUUCGGUCAAUCUUAUAGGUUCUAACCUUUUGAAGGUAAGUUUUAUCUUGUAACAUUCUCACAAAAUUUAAAAUCAACUGGGACGAAAAUUUUGAAAAUACUAUGAUUAGCACAAGCAUUUCAACAAUAGAGGAUGUAAUAAAAGCUCAUUGAGUUGAAACUUGAAAGCAAAAUUAGGGCAAGGUCAUUUCUUUAAAAAGAAUAAGGCAAGAUGAUGCACGGCAUGAAAUACCUGUGUGACCAAGCCUCAAAAGAUUCAUCAAGCCCAGUAUUUUGCUUGCCCUCGGCAUAAUUACACUUGGCUUCCCAAACAAAUAAUUGCUGGAGCUCGGACAAUGGAAGUAUUCAAUUUAACUACAUAAAUAUCAGCCGGAGCAUAAUUACACUUGGCUCCCUAACGAAUAAUGCUGGAGCUCGGACAAUACGAGUAUUCAAUUUAACUGUACAUAGAUGUGCGGGGUUUUGGUGGUAAGUAAAAAGACGUGCCACUAUCAGUUGAGGAGUGCAUAAGAGGAUUACAUCUAUCAAAUACUAUCCGGCCCCCUCGGCCAAUUCUUCCAUGAAAUUUGUGAGUUCGUGCUAUAGUGCCAUUCCUCGUAGAAGAAUCUGACGGCGGAACAAUACCUGCAGCGUCCAAUUUUUCUGGCACAAGGGGUUUUGUGAACAACAAAACUGGCUCAAGAGGAUCCUGAAACCCCACAGUUACAUUUUCAAAAUGAUGCACUGCUGAUAUUCAGAAAUAAAAUAAUGAUAAAACAUUUUGGAAAGUUUACUUAAAUCAUUUUUCUUUCCAGCCACAGAUAGGUCAAUAAGUCAAAUAUUUGAGGAAAAAUACUAAAGAAACUGACAGAGGGCACGCAGAAUUAACUACAAAACCACCAGAUUUAUCGUGUUUUUGUCCUGUUAAUUAAUUGUUUUCAAUUAACACGGUAACCCGGCUCGGGUGUUAACUCUGUUUCUGUCAGUGCUCUGUUGAAUAUUUCUACUUAAAAAUCAGCACUCGCAUGUAAGUAGUAUGGCAGCAGCAAAAUAUCAUGUGUAAUAAUUAGGCUAUUAGUUCCGGGUCCAGGAAUCGAGAUAAUCAGAUUAGGUGCAAAAGCUAUAUGUACCAAUUUAUGUAGCCAUGCAUAAUAUAUUCAUUUUUUACUUGCAAAUUCUUCCUUUUCACAACUUUAGGUACAACUUUUCCUUUCCUUUUGAAGGCCCACUCCACUGGCAUAGAGAGUAAAAAGAGUUUCUUAUAAAUAAUUUUAGGAGGAUGCUUCUGCCACGACAAGUAAUACCAUAAACAAAUGAUUUCACCACAUUUCAAGAAAGCAUUUAACUUAUGCCUCAUUUUCAUUCUAGCAAUUUGCUUGCCAUUGGCUGAUUGGAAAAAGUGCAUUUAAGUGAUAGAUUACUGUCAACCUAUAGCACGAAUAGGGGUUAAACAAAGUAAAUCCCUACCUUUACAUGUCAAAUAAAAGACUUUCAUAAUAUCAAAUAUCAAAACUCAUGUCUAGUAAAGGAUUCCCCAAUGCUGGCUCUCAAAAUUGCUUUUGUUUCAUGGAUGAGAUGAUGGUUUUUGUGGAUAUUCUGCUCAACUUGGAUUAUGACUUGGGUCAGAUCCCAACUUGCUGCAAAGCUCACCUGACUAAAUCUUAGUUGAUUUGCUUUUCCAAACUAAAUCCAAGCAAGUAAGUACAAGAGAUAAAAGCAAAAGUUCAAGCAUCUCAUUUGAGCCUGUCACUGACAAAUAGUCAAUGAGCAAUGUCUAGCUAUGACUGAGCAACAGAAUCAAUAAACAGACAGACAAAAAAUAAUAAUCAAGUCAUCUGUCAAAUGCUAGUCCAUGAAAAUCAUAUAUAUAUAUGUAUGUAUGUAUAUGUCUAUGUAUAUGUAUGAUCAUUCAUUUCUCAAUCAACCACCAAAUUGAUGUCAACAAAGCCAUGAGGAUUGUCUCACAAGUCUUUCAUUUUCCCUCUCUUUAGGCCAGAGACCAGUAAACCAUUUGAAAUAUGGAUGUGCAAACCAGUAAAUAAAUCAUGAAGUUACACACUAGUCUGCUUUCGCACUCAUUCAGAACUAUCAAUGAUACUUACUGCAGGUACGGUGUAUACAUUAUACUAAAGUGAAGGCUGGAUCAAUAAGAAAUUCAAAAUGUUUCAUCACAUUUGGGGCUUGAUGAUGCCAAAGAAAGACCAUACCAAUUAUGAUGAACAGUAAAAUGUGAACAAGAACAAGCAUACAUUUAAGAAAGCAGAGAAGCAUCAUUAAAAUAAAGUAUUCUUCUUACUAUUCUAUGUUGUUGGAAAAUGGACCAAAAUAAAAAAGGAACCAUAUAUGGUUAACGUCACAACAAGAGUAUUUGUGCAUUUGUACAUCAUAGGAUAUUGGGAAGACAUCAGCAGAGAAGUGCAAGUCAAAAAGGGGAAAAAAUGAAAAGAGAUAGAUCAAAAGGAAUGCAAUCUAAUUAAUCAUCUAAGGAGACUACUAUGCUACAGUUAGCCAUUGGUUGAAUAGGCAGCUUGUUUUCUAGUACAACUUUAAAUUUUCCAAGAUUUAGAAUUUUCCUACUGAAGAAAACUAAUUUCUAAAGCAGCUAUUACCAUCUUCAUCCCAACAGUAAGCAGCUCCAUACUAAGGAAAGAGUGAAAUAAGUUUGCUUUACUUAUAGAAGCCCAUUCCUGUCCAGAGUGAUUAGUAAGUUGUUUCACCAUGACCCCCAUUAUGGUGACUGAAAAAAGAAAAAUAAAAGAAGAAAAUAUUUGCCGAACACAAUAGUAGCACCUAAGAAGUCCUACUUAGGAGGCUUCAUACCCUGCACAAAUCGGAAAGUUUUUUAAAAUUUUCAUGUUUCAAAUGAAGAUUGUCCAUUAAAAAAUUACACACAUAAUGUAUGUAAAGCAAUUAAAAAAAAAAAAAAAAAACAAGGAUAACCCAGAAACAAUCCAACCAUCAAUAACAUAAAACUUUUGUAAUUCUGGUAAAGUGAAUGAGAAGCAGAACAUACAUUUCACGUAAUAAUGAAGAUACGUCUUUUAAUCAGUCUUUGCUCUUAAUUUAUUCUCGUACUUCCUUCCAAUAACAAUUCAUAAUGCAGGUAGGUAUCUUGAAAAAUUAUAUCAUACAUUUCUCUUAUCAAUGGGGCAGGUUGCUAUUGAACAUUAUUCAUAAACAAAGAGCCAAAUAUGCUUUAAAGCUACUUAAAAAUAUGCCAUCAGGCACUGACGCAGACACUCAACAACAAAAAACAGACUUAUUAUAUUUGUUGCACAAAUAAGAAAGAAGAUAACAAUUUUAAAUUAACCAACAGGUUGAGUCUUAUCGUAAUACACACUAUCAGCUAUGAAUUAGCAUAUCUUUAGAAGUCCUGAACUCAUUCACGGCCAUUCGAAGAGAAUCAUCCGAUAGAAUCAACGGUGACAAUGCUCCAGUGCUUAACCUGCGAAAAUUAGAUCAAGCAGAGCUUGCAUUCCCUGAAGUUAACCAAAAAAAAAGAAAAAAACAUUACGAUGACUUAAAUUUUAACAGAAAACAAAAAACAAAGCAAGAGUGAAUAGAGUAAUACCAAAGCAAAUUUAGGAUUGUUAGGUCCAAUUUGUGGACCAACUUCUGAACUUCUAAUAGUAGACUUAGGAUGAAGGAUUUGAAGAGGCUGUGGCGGCGGCGAAUACGCAUCAAGAUUCACACUGCUCCUCGCUUUGAGGGCCAAAAGAGUGCGGAGGCGCGACAAAGCUGACACGCGAUUCUUGUGCUGCGAUCGGUGUUCAGCGGCAUGUGCUAUGACGCCGGUCGGUACGUGCUCGAGACGUAUGGCGGAUUCGCGCUUAUUGCGGUGCUGACCGCCUGGUCCCGACGAUUUGUACACGUCCAUUUAGCAUUCGCGAAACAGCUCAUCGUCCGUCAAUUCUAAGUAAUUCUUCGAAGAAGAAGAAGAAGAAGAAGAAGAAGUUGAACAAUGGCUGAUAAUUCCCGCGAUGCUUGUACGACGGAAAGUUUAUAUUUUUCCUUCCGAGUUGGGGAAUCCGAAGCAGGAAUUGAGCGGCCAACGCCCUCAUCAAUUUCAUUUUCCCUCACUGUGUAUGCGAUGAUGAAAGCAAAGCUUCGUACUAGUAACUCAUUCUUAUGGCAGGCCCAGCCCAAUCCAGCCCAGUCCAGCAAAUGAGCAAUGUUAUUGUUUUAUUAUUUUUGAACUCGUGGUGGCCCUGUAUUAUUUGCAAAUUAUUUGCAAAAUACUCGUAUAAGGAGAGGGACAUAUUUUAUGCUGGAAUAUUUUCAAUAUAAAUGGUGCUCUAAAAAUGUGUCCGACUGUAAAGAUAUGUCUAAUUAAACAGUGUCAUAUAUAAUAAAAAUGUAUCCUUUUAUUUAAAGAUGAAUCCAUUCACGGUUUCAUGCUUCAAUUUGAAAUAACGAUAGUUUAUUUUGGACCAGUGAUGAUCUAAUUCAAAUUUUGAUUUAAUAACCAUGAAUGAAAUAACCACUUUCUGUUAGUUCUCUUAAAAUUUAUUAAGAAAUCUAUAUUGAAGGAUGUUUCAUCCUUUAGUGUUGUAGAAAAUACACUUUACAUUUUGAAAUUUAAAAUGACCUUCUUUUAAAUAAAAUUUUAAAACAAAUGCCUCUAACUAAGGAAGAAAUUUUGGAUUACAUCAAAAAUACCAUGUUAGCCAUACAACAAGUGAAUCAUGAUACGACACAUGUGCACUGAUUUUAAAAAACUAUCAUUCAAAUGGUGGUUAUAUUGAAUAUAAAUAUGUACAUAUCAUACAUGACACAAAUCACCUCAACCCUUCUGUUGGAUCUGGGGUGAAUCAUGCAAUUUUAUAUCUAAAGCUCAUGACAAACUUAAUUCAUGAAUAUAUAACACUAGCCUUGGCCUUUGUUAUAAACAUAUAAUAAUCUAUGUGCCUCAUUCAAAAAUUUAUUAAAAACUUACAUAGUUCAUAUCUCACUGUACAUACAUACACUUCAAAAAUAUACAUAUAAACAUAAACGUGGUCAAAAUGUAAGUCGUGCAGUAAUGCGUGUCGUGGCCCAACCUCAAUUGAUCAAAAAUUGAAAUACACGAAAUCCUAUGGAAACCUUAGAGAAAUGGCGUAAAUAGGAAAAUAGUAAGCUUGCGACUCAAUGAAUGAAUAUAAUUAUAUAUAAAAAUAAAUUAGUGCUUUAGUGUUCGUCAUAAUUGUAUGACAUAACUUUACACUAAACACUUUACAAAAGAAAACAUGAACUCAUAUAUACAUACAUGACAAAAUUGUACCAAAUAAUUUACAGGGGAAAUAACUCUCAAUACUUACUGGGAUCAUCAUCGCACGAGUAAAAAGGGGGAAAAACCUCUCAAUACUCAGUAGAAUUAACAACAUCGCAAAGGUCGAGUAAUUUAACUCUCAAUACGCAUGAGUAGAGCCUAUAGGGAAAGGUACACAUAUGGUACCAGUCAAUUACAUCUCAUGACUCAGUUAAUCAUAUAAUGUGCGUUCAUAUAAUCAUAACAUUAUACUAAAUCAUACUAUCAAAUAUAAAUGUUUUGUAAAAUACAUAAUAAUAAUCCACUCACAGAUCCUAUUGAUGAAGCACGCACGUGCUUUGCUUUAAGCUAACAGCUUGCUAUUGCUUUGACAAUUAACCCAUGUGCCUCCUUUUAAAUUGGACGUGCGUCACAAUACAUGCAUUAGAAUUGGUUGUAUUCUCAUGGGUGAAGCAUGAAUGUGCUUUGCUUUAAGCUAACAGCUUGCUAUUGCUUUGACAAUUAGCCACAUGUGACCCGUUUAUAGUUUAGGAAAUAACAAUAUUGAAUAGAAAUAUUCUUAGAAUAUAGUAUUUAUUUUCCAUUCAAACAUUUUCUCAUUUAGGCAAAGGUCACAAAAAAAAAAUACUUUUUUAAUUUAAAUAUAAAUAUGUAAAAAAUAAAUAACUAAUUUUUUUUUUUUAAGUUAGACUUUAUAUGCUUAACAAUCAACCCUAUGGAACAUGAAUAAGAGCUACUAAAACAAAAAAAAAAAGAAUAAUUUGGAAACUAAAUACAAUUAAUUGAGAGAUGAGGACGGAUAAGAUAAAUUCAGAGAUAAAAAUUAAAAUAUCACCCUACUUAUUGCUGGCAGUUAUGAGCAUUAAAGCACAGAAGCACGUGUGUUGAAAAGUAUGGUGUUCGUGUGGAAUUUUCAGCUAAAAGUCUACAAGGCAGUUGAAUUAAUCAAUCAUCGUGGAGUGCACGGUGGUUGGACAAUGAGAUGAAAUUGAAAAAUUAUCACGGAAAUUGAAGGAAGGGGCAUGGCAUUGAUUUAUUCUACAGAGUCACGCACAUUUAGUUCAAUAAUUGUUUUCAUCCGAAUCAAAAUCUCUCGCUAAUCAAUUCAACUGUUUCUGUUGAUUAUGGCUUCUUCUUCUCGAAACAACAAGCAGUGUGAUGUUUUUGUUAGUUUCAGAGGAGUGGACACCCGCGACAACCUUACUAGCCAUCUCUAUUCUGCUCUGUGUCGACAAAAUAUCCAAACUUUCAUUGAUGACCAACUUAACAGAGGAGAUGAAAUUUCGGAGUCUCUUGUGAAUGCAAUUGAAGCAUCAGCCAUUUCAGUUAUCGUCUUCUCAGAAGGGUAUGCAUCUUCCAGAUGGUGUCUCGAUGAACUUGUAAAGAUCCUCGACUGCAAGAAGGAGUAUGCACAGAUUGUGAUUCCGGUUUUCUAUCGGGUUGAUCCAUCAGACAUGAGAAACCAAACUGGGAGUUUUGGAGAUUCAUUUUCGAAUCUUGAAGAAAGAUUAAAGGAGAAUACUGAGAAGCUGCAGAGUUGCAGGAAUGCUUUGGAGGAAGCAGCAAGUUUGUGUGGAUUUCAUUCUCCUAACAUCAGGUGAAAAGUUAAACCUUUAAUUUCUCAUACUAAUAUUUAACAAUAAAUAAAAUUCACGCAGCACUCUUAGUUAAAUUUCCGGAUGCUAAACUACAAUUUUAAAAAUUUUUAAGCAUCAAAUUCUAGACUUCCUGACUUCCCCACUUUUGUGCUCUCAUAAUUAUAAAAUAAUUGUGACAGAAUUAAUAAUAAAAGCUCGAGAAUUUUACAAUAUAUAUGUAACAAAAUUAGGGGUGGUCUGUCGUUUUUUAAGCAAUUUCAACCUCUCACUCAGAUACCACCAUUAGAACGAAAAAAAAAAAAACUCACGCAUAUUCCUGUAAUUUAAGAGUUAUUAAUUUACUGGAGAUUGUAGACUAGUGGUGGUAUAUAUUAAUUUCAAUAAGAAAACUGACAAUCUCCCUUACUUCAUACUUAAUACAAAUUCCUCGUAUUAAUUUGAAGUUACUUUGGCUAAUUUUAUGUAUUUGCUAGGUGUGAGUCGGAACUUACAAAUGAAGUUGUUAAUCACAUUUUGAAGAGAUUGGAUGAAGUGAUUCAGCCCCGUGAUAACAAAAACCAGCUGGUUGGAGUGGAAUCAACAGUUGAGGAAAUUGAAUCCCUAUUAGGUGUUGAGUCGAAAGAUGUUUACGCUUUAGGGAUUUGGGGCAUUGGUGGUAUAGGCAAAACAGCAAUUGCUAGAGCUAUUUUCGACAAAAUCUCGGGUGAUUUUGAAGGUUCUUGCUUCCUCGAAAAUGUUAGAGAUGAGUCACAAAGACCAGGAGGAUUAGCUUGCUUAUGACAAAAACUUCUUUCAAAUUUAUUGAAGGAUAAAAAUGUGAUGCCUUAUGUUGAUGCUGAAAUCUGCUCGCCCUUGGACCGACCAGAUUCUUUCACCAACGUUUAUAUUAUCCACUGCUGCUCGAACCACUGGGGUUGGAAUCACUCUCCUCUUCCUUACUAGACCUGCGUUCACCAAAAACAGAUCAGAGACGCCGGUGGUUUUGCCGGCAUAAACCCUCUGAUGCCUAAGUUAGCACAAGGUGUUUACGGGAAAACAGUUAAAUUUUGAUUCAAGAGUGGCUCUAAUUUGCUCGAAGUUUUUAAUAAAAUUGUCUGGUUUCAAUUUGGCAGCGUUUUCCCUCUCUUAGUUUUUCUAUCCCUUUCUUCAUCGAUUUCUCUCCCUUUUAUAGCCGCCCCCUGUCUCACGUUUUCCGUUUAUCCUUCAUCACCCCUUUUUCGGGUGGUGGCAGCCCCUCAUGGGGCUCUAACUGUUACAUUGUGGGCAAACGUGGGUCUCGCGUGUCCUUCAACGGUUCUGGGAAAAGCGCAACUACCGCGAUUUUGUGGGAUCGUGUUCCCGCUUUCUUGGGGAUGAGUAUCGGCUCGGUAUAUACCUAUGGUCGGUAUGUUUUCCUGGUUGUACUCAUUUCUGGUCGGCUCAUGUUUGCCCCCGUGUUCUGCUCGCAUCACUCGGUUGAAGCGAUCCGUGCUGGGGUGGAAACAAUAGCAUGGCCGACCUGGUGCUUUUAUGUACUCAACACAUAUUGACCUCAAUUUUAGAAGGCUCAGCCGCAUGAAGGUUUUGAUUGUUUUUGAUGAUGUGAUUUGCUUCAGCCAAUUAGAAUCUUUAAUUGGAAGUCUUGAUUGGUUGACGCCUGUGAGUUGAAUCAUAAUAACCACUAGAAAUAAACAAGUGCUUAGAAAUUGGGGGGUGAGGAAAAUAUAUGAGAUGAAGGCAUUAGAAUAUCAUCACGCUAUUGAGCCUUUUAGUCGACAUGCCUUCAAACAAAACCAUCCUGAUGUUGGUUAUGAGGAACUUUCAAGCAAAGUAAUGAAAUAUGCUCAAGGUGUUCCUUUAGCUCUUAAAGUUUUGGGUUGCUUUCUACAUAAAAGGGAAAAAGAAGUCCGGGAAAGCGCAAUAGAUAAAUUGCAAGAAUCCUCCAUCCAAGUAUUCUUGAGGUAUUAAAAAUAAGUUAUGAUAGUUUGGACGAAGUGUCUAAUAGCGACAAAAAUUUGUCUUGGUGGGGCUGAAGUGUUAUUCACUAGUGGAAUAUAAAUAUCAUUUUUCAUUUGAUAUUAACUUUAUUGAUUUUUCUAUUUAUUUUUGGGGACAGAAAAAAUUGUGGGCAUCUGUUUGGAUAUGUCAAAAGUAAAAGAGAUCCAUCUAAAUCCCAGUGCGUUCGCAAAGAUGCAUAAAUUGAGAUUUUUAAAAUUCUAUAGUUCAUCAUUCAAUGGGGAGAACAAAUGCAAGGUGUCUCAUUUGCAAGACCUCAUAUUUGCUGAAGUGAAAUAUCUUCACUGGCAUGGAUAUCCGUUGAAGUCAUUGCCUUCAAACCUUAGUGCAGAGAAGCUUGUGUUUCUUGAAGUGCCUAAUAGCGACAUUGAACAAUUUUGGAAUGGUGUGAAGGUAUGUUUAUCUUAAUGUAUAUGUGCAAUAUAUCAAUAAGAACAUUAAAUUAUCAUGCACAGUAAUGAUUUUAUCUUUGCCUCUUUUUUGACCGAGCAGCAUUAUAGUAAGUUAAACCAGCUAAUCCAUGCUGCCUGCAAGAAGCUAAUUGCCAAAACUCUAAACCCCACGUGGAUUCCACAUCUGAACAAGCUAGUUAUCUUGAAUCUAAGCGGUAGCAAGAGCCUUAAAAGUCUUCCAGCUGGAAUAUUUAAUUUGGAAUUUCUUACCGAACUUGAUCGUUCGGGUUGUUCAAAGCUGAAGAGGCUUCCAGAGAUCUCAUCUGGUAACAUAGGCCGGCUAUUUUUAAGUGGAACUGCAAUUGAAGAACUGCCCUCAUCAUUUGAGCUUCUACUUAGGCUUUGGUUGUUAGACCUUUCAGAUUGUAAAAGGCUUAAGAGUCUCCCAAGCAGCCUCUGUAAGUUGAAGUCUCUUGAACUUCUUAGUCUCCGUGGUUGCUCAAAUCUUCAGAGAUUGCCAGAAUGGCUUGGCCAGUUAUCGUCGCCACUAAUAGUGAAUCUAUUGAAAACCAAUAUUGAGAGAAUACCAGAAAGCAUUAUCUAACAAUUUAUGUUGCGAUACAUCCUCUUAGAUUAUUGUGAGGGGCUUCAAUCCUUACCAAAGCCUCUAUUCCUUGUACGAUGGUUAGAUGCCGAUCAUUACUCGGCACCACAAUCAUUAACAGGUUUGUUCUCUAAGUUCUGAAUCUUAUGGGCAAUGUUUUUUUACUAGAGCAAUAAUUUUUAAUUGGAAGGUAAUUCUACUGCAGAAAUUAUUCAAGAUGCCUUGAGAAUUCAAUAUAUGGGUCAUGUGGUAGUGGUACCUUCCCGUUGGAAAGAAGUACGGGAAAAGGUGUGUCUUAAUUCUUUCUCCUUACAAUUUAUACCUUUUUUUUGGGUUUGAAAUUUUGAUCUUUUGGUAUAGAGAGGUUUUUCCAAGGAAGGCCAUUACGUACUAGCUGGGAAUGAAAUUCCAAGGUGGUUUAAUUUUCAAAGUGUGGGAUCUUUUAUAACGUUAGAGAUGCCCCCAGAUUUCUUCAAUCACAACAGAGUACUGGGCUUUGCAUUUGGUGCCAUUUUAGGAUUUCCAGGCCGUCAUGUAGGUUGUGGCAGAUGGUUUUCAUUUUCUUGUGAGCUCAAAGUGGAAACCACCAAAGAUUGUGAUCUGCAUGACACACUGUUAUUUCAAAGAAGAGUUAAUUAUUUAGAAUCAGAUCACUUACAUUUGGGAUACUAUUUGUUCUAUGAAGAGGAUUUUAAUGGGUUUUGGAAAUGCAAUUGCUUUCCUGAGACAAUCCACUUUAAUGUUUUUCCACCUUUGGAGUGUGAGUGUUGCGGAGUGAAAAAAUGUGGGAUCCAUUUUUUUGGCAUUGCGGACUCUACGAAUUCAAUAGAAGACCCAAGCAGAUGUUUCAAAUAUAACGAAGAAGACUGAGAUUUUCAUGAAUGUAUUUUUAUUGUUUUCCUUUUUCAAAUCACUAUUAAUAAUAGGAGAAAAUGCCAAAAUCAGUUCUUGGAACAAAACAUUCAUGUUAUAACUUUUGACGGAUCUGGUGCGUGUAACACAAAUUCACACUAGAGUAUUGAACUAUACUCUAAUUUACCUUAUUAGGUGAGUAUUGAACUUUACCUUAUUAGGUGAAGAGUGUAAUGUAUGAAAAGCACAUGAUGUAUAUUGUAAAAUUAAAACUAUUGGCCUUCUUUCUUGCUCUGCACACACCACCCACAACGAUUUGUUAUUGGACUUUGCAACCCAAAACACAUCUACUUAAGUGAGCAUGUGACUUAUAAACUAGUGAAAAAACUCAUUUGCCAGCGGCAUGGAAUAUUACAGGACGCGCAACGAGUUCUUACAGAGUAUGUUGUUGGCCCAUAUCUCAACCAAUGAACACAUGCCACUCAUCCCAUUGCGUACUACAUCAACUCUCCUGUAUAUAACGCAAGUCUGGUGUUCAUGUGGAAUUUUCAGCUAGAAGUCUACAAAGCAGUGGAAUUAAUCAAUCAUCGUGGAGUGCACGGUACUUGGACAAUGAGACGAAAUUGAAAAACUAUCACGGAACUUGAAGGAAGGCUCAUGGCAUCGAUUUAUUCUACAGAGUCACGCACAUUUGGUUCAAUAAUUGUUUUCAUCCGAAUCAAAAUCUCUCUCUAAUCAAUUCAACUGUUUCUGUUGAUUAUGGCUUCUUCUUCACGAAACAACAAGAAGUAUGAUGUUUUUGUUAGUUUCAGAGGAGAGGACACCCGCGACAACUUUACUAGCCAUCUCUAUUCUGCUCUGUGUCGACAAAAUAUCCAAACUUUCAUUGAUGACCAACUUAACAGAGGAGAUGAAAUUUCGGAGUCACUUGUGAAUGCAAUAGAAGCAUCAGCCAUUCCAGUUAUCGUCUUCUCAGAAGGGUAUGCAUCUUCCAGAUGGUGUCUUGAUGAACUUGUAAAGAUCCUCGAGUGCAAGAAGGAGUAUGCACAGAUUGUGAUUCCGGUUUUCUAUCGGGUUGACCCAUCAGACGUGAGAAACCAAACUGGGAGUUUUGGAGAUUCAUUUUCGAAGCUUGAAGAAAGAUUAAAGGAGAAUACUGAGAAGCUGCAGAGUUGGAGGAAUGCUUUGGAGGAAGCAGCAAGUUUGCGUGGAUUUCAUUCUCCUAACAUCAGGUGAAAAGUUAAACCUUUAAUUUCUCAUACUAAUAUUUAACAAUUAAUAAAAUUCACGCAGCACUCUUAGUUAAAUUUCCGGAUGCUAAACUACAAUUUUAAAAAUUUUUAAGCAUCAAAUUCUAGACUUCCUGACUUCCGAACUUUUGUGCUCCCAUAAUUAUAAAAUAAUUUUGAAAGAAUUAAUAAUAAAAGCUCGAGAAAUUUACAAUAUACAUCUAACAAAAUUAGUGGUGGUCUGUCGGUUUUUAAGCAAUUGCAACGUCUCACUCAUACACCACCAUUGGGAAAAAAAAAGGAAAUUAUCAUUGCACCACCUUCCUUUUACCUAUUGUUCAUCCAAUUACCACAAAAUUCUAACAUGUUCUUUGCACCAUUUUUUUUAAAAAAAAUAUUGUAUCAAUAAGCCACUUUUGCACUAACACCAUAAAAUAAUUUAAAUGAAAUGAAAAUUUUACAAUUAAAUAAAUUAAAUGACCAUUUUUAUUUUAUAAAAAUUAAGAAAAUAAAAAAUUAUAAUUAUAAAAAUACCCCUAAAUUUAAUUAAAAAAUAAAUCCCAAUAUUAUAACUUUUAUUUUUAAUAAAAAUUAUUUUAAUAAAAAAUUAUAAUUAUAAAAAUAAUUACAAAAUUUUGGGAUUUAAUAAAAAUCCCCUAAAUUAUUAAAAUUUUAGGAUUUAUUUUUUAAUAAUUAAAUUCAGUUAUUUUAAUUAAAUUUUAAAAAAUUAUAAUUUUUAAUAAUAAAUUAAGUUAUUUUUAUUAAAAUAUUGUAAAAUUAUAAUUUUUAAUUAAACAUAAUUAUUAAAAUUUUGUAAAAUCUAAAUUUAAUAAAAAUUAGCUGAGCACCUCUAUUUGAGAUUUUUUAUAUUAAAUUUAGGGGUAUUUUUUUAAUUAUAUUUUUUUUAUUUUUCCAAGCUUUUAUAAAAUAAAAUGAUUUUUUAGUUUAUUUAGAGGUAAAUUUAUCAUUUUGUUUAAACUAGUUAACGGUGUUAGUGGAAAAGUGGCUAAUUGAUAUAAAUUUAAAACAAAAGGUGGUGAAAAGAAUAUGUUAUAAUUUUGUGGUGGUUGGAUGAAUAUAAAACAAAAGAGAGGUUGUGUAGUGAUAAUUUUUCCCCAAAAAAAAAACUCACACAUAUUACUGGAGAUUGUAGACUAGUGGUGGUAUAUAUUAAUUUCAAUAAGAAAACUGACAAUCUCCCUUACUUCAUACUUAAUACAAAUUCCUCGUAUUAAUUUGAAGUUACUUUGGCUAAUUUUAUGUAUUUGCUAGGUGUGAGUCGGAACUUACAAAUGAAGUUGUUAAUCACAUUUUGAAGAGAUUGGAUGAAGUGAUUCAGCCCCGUGAUAACAAAAACCAGCUGGUUGGAGUGGAAUCAACAGUUGAGGAAAUUGAAUCCCUAUUAGGUGUUGAGUCGAAAGAUGUUAACGCUUUAGGGAUUUGGGGCAUUGGUGGUAUAGGCAAAACAGCAAUUACUAGAGCUAUUUUCGACAAAAUCUCGGGUGAUUUUGAAGGUUCUUGCUUCCUCGAAAAUGUUAGAGAUGAGUCACAAAGACCAGGAGGAUUAGCUUGCUUACGACAAAAACUUCUUUCAAAUUUAUUGAAGGAUAAAAAUGUGAUGCCUUAUAUUGACCUCAAUUUUAGAAGGCUCAGCCGCAUGAAGGUUUUGAUUGUUUUUGAUGAUGUGAUUUGCUUCAGCCAAUUAGAAUCUUUAAUUGGAAGUCUUGAUUGGUUGACGCCUGUGAGUCGAAUCAUAAUAACCACCAGAAAUAAACAAGUGCUUAGAAAUUGGGGGGUGAGGAAAAUCUAUGAGAUGAAGGCAUUAGAAUAUCAUCACUCUAUUGAGCUUUUUAGUCGACAUGCCUUCAAACAAAACCAUCCUGAUGUUGGUUAUGAGAAACUUUCAAGCAAAGUAAUGAAAUAUGCUCAAGGUGUUCCUUUAGCUCUUAAAGUUUUGGGUUGCUUUCUGCAUAAAAGGGAAAAAGAAGUCUGGGAAAGUGCAAUAGAUAAAUUGCAAAGAAUCCUCCAUCCAAGUAUUCUUGAGGUAUUAAAAAUAAGUUAUGAUAGUUUGGACGAUAAGGAGAAAAAUAUUUUCCUUGAUAUUGCUUGUUUCUUUCAAGGUGAGGAUGUAGAUCUAGUAACGAAAUUUUUUAAUGCAAGCGGUUUCCACCCAGAAAUAGGAAUAAGCGUUCUUGUUGAUAAAUCUCUCAUUGCUAUUGGUUCAUACAACAAGAUAAGAAUGCAUGAUUUACUACAAGAGUUGGGUAGGGAAAUUGUUCGACAAGAAUCUAUUAAUCCUGGAAAUCGCAGUAGGUUGUGGCAUCAUGAGGAUAUCUAUGAAGUUCUUACAUAUAACACGGUAAGCAGUUUGUUGUGGAUAAUUAUUUUGAAAUAUUCUAGCAUUUACAAACUUGAUAGGAAUAUAUUUAUAUAUGCUCGAACUGAUGAGUCUUAGAAUUAAUAGAAGAGCGACAAUGAUUAGAAAAAACCAUAUCCGUUAGAUGACGUAGCAAUAAAUUAUAAAUGCCAUGACAACUUGCAUAAUCGUUUGCAAGCAUAAUUGAUAUGCCAAUUUGUAUGGUACACAGACGGAAUUUUUAUAUUAAGUAUUACUUGUGUUAUUAUGUUUCUUUGUGCAUUUGCAAUUAAAAGUUUAACUGCCUAGCAAUAACUACAAGCUACCUCUAAUUGUGAAUUAGUGAGAAAAUUGCCCCAAAAAUUAUCCCUAUGUAUUGUUGAAGGGCGAUUCAUUGGUGGAAUACACAUAUCUUUCAUUUGAUUUUAACUUUAUUGCUUUUUCAUUUAUUUUUAGGGGACAUAAAAAAUUGAGGGCAUAUGUUUGGAUAUGUAAAAAGUAAAAGAGCUCCGUCUAAAUCCCAAUACUUUCACAAAGAUGCCUAAAUUGAGAUUUUUAAAGUUCUAUAGUUCAUCACUCAAUGGAGAGAACAAAUGUAAGACGUCUUAUUUGCAAGACCCUGGAUUUGCUGAAGUGAAAUAUCUUCACUGGCAUGGAUAUCCGUUGAAGUCAUUACCCUCAAACCUUAGUGCAGAGAAGCUUGUGUUACUUGAAGUGCCUGAUAAUGACAUUGAACAACUUUGGGAUUGUGUGAAGGUAUGCAUAUCUUAUGUGCAAUCUUUCAAUAAAAAUAUUAAAUUAUUAUACGUGGUGAUGAUUUUGUCUUGGCCUCUUUUUUGACCGAGCAGCAUUAUAGUAAGUUAAACCAGAUAAUCCACGCUGCUUGCAAUAAGCUAAUUGCCAAAACUCCAAAUCCCACGUUGAUGCCACAUCUGAACAAGCUAGUUAUCUUGAAUCUAAGAGGUAGCAAAAGCCUGAAAAGUCUUCCAUCUGGAAUAUUUAACUUGGAAUUUCUUACCAAACUUGAUCUUUCGGGCUGCUCAAAACUGAAAAGGCUUCCAGAGAUCUCAUCAGGUAAUAUAAACUGGUUAUUUUUAAGGAGGACUGCAAUUGAAGAACUGCCUGUUGGUGGUAAAAUUGUGGGGAAUGGCAAAUGUAGAGAAAUACAACAAUAAUGGUGGAACUUUAUUAUGUAAAGUAAUAUGUUUACAACUAACUCUGUAUGUAGGAAGAAACUGCAGAAAUUUUGUGUGCUUCAAGGCACGUUACAAAUGUCGCUUUCCUUAAGACGUUAUUUGCCCCCACCAAUUGAGUGAUGCACAUGGGUUAAGCAAAUACGCCUCCAGGAUACAAUGAAGCACUUGUUUGUUUGCUUGCGUUGUGCAUCGACGAAAGCAAACCAGAAUACUCUUGAAUGUUGCAAGCCUGCCAAGAAACAAUAUAUUGUUCCUGCAGAAAACAAUAUAUUGGAAUGUGAAUGCACAAAAGAAAUGAGUGUUUUGUGUUGAAAUUCGUACUAGAAAAGAAUGCUAAGAAAAGAGUGGUGUAGGAUCAUUUAUUUCAUGUCUAAAUGGCUUAAACAUGACCCCUAUUUAUAGAUAUACUUGUGCCCCCUCAUUUGGGUUAUCAUCUUUCAUGAUACCCCUUCAUUCAUGGCCAUUGGAUCUAGAUUUGAUUUUAAUCAAUGGUCCAAAUUGAAUCAUCACCAUUUCAAAUGAAAUGUCACCAUGAAAUGAUGCAUCUCUAAGUGAAAUGUUGCCAUGAAAAGUUAUAUCAUUUAGUAAAAAGAUACCUUUUCUACAAGACGCAAUUAAAUGGACAUGUCCUUACAACAAUACAUCAUUUAAUUAGACAUGUUUUUAGUGAAAGGUACCUUUUCUAUAAGGCACAAUUAAUAGGACAUGUUAUUUUGAAAAAUUUCCAACAAUCCCCCACCAUUUUCAAAAUAAAUGAAUUUUGAAAAAUUAUCUUGCACAGGCUUGGAAAACUUAUGCAUAGAUGAAGGUGUCUUUUGGACUUGAACCUUCACUUAGUGAUAAUACAUCAAAGUUAAUCAAGGUGGCAAGGUAGGCAAGCUUUGAACCAGCGACCUUAAUCGACUAACCAGAUAUAUCUCACACAUAAGUUUUCAAAUUCUCAAGUAUUCCUUAGCCGACACGUGGAUUGGCCCUAUGUCUAUAUCCUGUUUUCAUGAGCGCUUUAGUAACCAACCAAGUUACAUAGGAAGCGGCACCACCUCCUACACUCACAUAAGUAGAGUUAUCUAGAAUGUCCCUGUAACUAAAAAAUUUAUAAGUCCAUUAAAAGCUAAGUAGCUUAACCUUUCUCAUAUGUUACAGGUAUCAAGCACUAACCUUUGGGACGCAUCUAAAAAUUUUAUAGUGCUUGCUAUCACAACAUAUGAUGUACUUUUGCUCAUUGAACCCAAGAUCUUGAUAUUUCAAGUGUUGGGUUGAGUUUCCAUCAUUGGUGAUAAGAUGAUGCUGGCUUCAGUCCCAUCCCCUUAGAAGUUUUAAAUACAAUAUCCCUUGCAAGGCCUUUAGUUAAGGGGUCUGCCAAAUUUUGGCAUGAUUUCACAAAGUCAAUUGUGAUUACUCCAUCUGUAAGUAAUUGUCUUACAUAACUAUGUCUUAGACCAAUGUGCCUAGACUUUCCAUUAUAGAUUUGACUAUAUGCUCUUGAUAAAGUUGCCUCACUAUCACAGUGAAUAGAUACAGGAGGCAUUGGUUUAGGCUAAAUAGGAAUUUCUAUAAGCAAAUUCCUUAACCAUUCAGCUUCCUUGCAACAUGAAGCCAAAGCUACAAAUUCUACAGCCAUGGUGGAGUCUGCUAUACAAGUUUGCUUCUUUGAGCCCCAUGAAAUAGCUCCUCCACUAAGAUUAAAAAUCCAACCACUUGUGGAUGUAUGAUCAUCUCGAUCAGUAAUCCAACUAGCAUCCGAAAAUCCUUCCAAAACUGAAGGAUAUCCAGUGUAGUAUAUACCAUAAUCCAUUGUAUGUUUUAAAUAUUUUAGAAUUCUGUACACUGCUUGCCAGUGUGCUUGGCUUGGAUUACUAGUAUAUCUACUGAGCUUUCCAACAGCGAAAGCAAUAUCAGGCCUAGUACAAGUCAUCGCAUACAUAAGACACCCAAUAAUACGUGCAUAUUCUAAUUGAGAUACUGAUCUGCCAGUGUUAGGAUACAGUCUUAUGUUUGAAUCAAAAGGUGUUGACACAGACUUACAAUCAUAAUAAUUAAAUUUCUUUAAAAUUUUCUCAAUAUAAUGUGUUGGGUCAAUACUAGGCCAUUCUCAUUUUUUAUAAUUUUAAUCCCCAAAAUCACAUUAGCAAGUCUCAUGUCAUAUCUUAAAUAGAGUGCCUAAUAAGAAAACAAAAGUGACCGCAUAUGAAUUAUGGAAAAAGAGAAAGCCUAAUCUUUCUUAUCUAAGAGUUUGGGGUUGUCGAGCCAUUGUAAGACUACCAAAACCUAAGAUAAAGAAAUUAGGAGAAAGGGGCAUUGAAUGCAUAUUCUUGGGAUAUGCUGAGCAUAGUAAAGCUUAUAGGUUUCUUGUAAUAGAACCUAAUAGCUUUGUUGAGAUCAAUACUAUAGUGGAAUCUAGAGAUGCAAUAUUCUAUGAAAAUAGAUUUUCCACUAUACCAAAAAGUAUUGAUUCUCAAGAGAAUGAUAAACAAAUAGAAAUUGGCCAAAAGCGUGAUGCUAAUAAUGAGCAAAAUCAUUUGAGAAGAAGUAAAAGAAUAAGGACCAUAAAAUCUUUUGGACCAGAUUUUAUAGUCUAUUUAGUUGAAGGGACAAGAGACUCACAAUCAAAACAGACCAUGAUCACACCUACUAUAGAGUCUGAUCCCCUCACCUAUGAAGAGGCAAUGAAGUCUCAAGAUACUGCUUUUUGGAAAGAGGCCAUUAAUGAUGAAAUGGACUCUAUUGUGGGUAAUAAGACUUGGAAAUUAGUUGAUUUACCACCUGGCUCUAAUCCUAUAGGUUGUAAAUGGAUUUUCAAAAAGAAGAAGAAAGUUGAUGGAACAAUUGAAAGAUUUAAAGCAAGACUAGUAGCAAAAGGCUUUACACAAAAAGAAGGCCUUGAUUAUUUUGAUACUUAUGCACAUGUUGCAAGAAUUGCUACUAUUAGAGUCUUGAUUGCUUUGGCUUCAAUUUAUCAAUUUGAAAUCCAUUAAAUGGAUGUAAAAACAGCUUUCUUAAAUGGAGAAUUAGAUGAGGAAAUUUACAUGAAACAACCAGAAGGGUUUGUUAUGCCAUGACAAGAACAUAAAGUUUGUAAACUAGUCAAGUCUUUAUAUGGUCUUAAACAAGCUCCAAAGCAGUGGCACGAAAAGUUUGACAAAGUGAUUGUCUCAAAUGGAGGAUUGUUGGAAAAUUUUCAAAAUAACAUGUCCUAUUAAUUGUGCCUUAUAGAAAAUGUACCUUUCACUAAAGACAUGUCUAAUUAAAUGAUGUCUUGUUGUAAGGACAUGUCCAUUUAAUUGUGUCUUGUAGAAAAUGUAUCUUUUUAUAAGGCACAAUUAAUAGGACAUGUUAUUUUGAAAAUUUUCCAACACUGCCUUCAUCAAUUGAGCUUCUACUUAGGCUCGGGCACUUGGACCUUUCAGAUUGUAAAAGGCUUAAAAGUCUCUCAAGCAGCCUAUUUAAAUUGAAAUCUCUUGGAGUUCUUAAUCUCGGUGGUUGCUCAAAUCUUCAGAGAUUGCCCGAAUGUCUUGGCCAAUUAUCCUCGCCAAUAAUAUUGAAUCUAGCGAAAACCAAUGUUGAGAGAAUACCAGAAAGCAUUAUUCAACUUUUCGUGUUCCGAUACCUCCUCUUAAGUUAUAGUGAGAGGAUUCAAUCCGUAUCAUUGCCUCUUGCACGAGGUUUGCCUGGCACUGCAACCAUUCUUAGGUUUGUUCUCUAGGUUAUGAAUCUUAUAGGCAGUGUUUUUUGACCGGAGCAAUAAUUUUAAAUUGGAAGGUAAUUUUACUGCAGGAAUUCUUGAAGAUACCCAGAGAAGUCCGCAUAUGGACCAUAAGCUAGCUGUCCUUUGGCAAUAAAUACAGGAAAAUGUGUGUCUUUAACUCUCUCUGCUUACAAUUUCUACAAUUUUUUUUGGGUUUAAAAUUAUGAUAUUUUGGUGCAGAGAGGUUUUUCUAUGGUCAAAGUUCAUAUGGUACUGCCUGGGAAUGAAAUUCCAAAGUGGUUUAAGUUUCAAAGUGCGAGAUCUUUUGUAACCUUGGAGAUUCCACCAGAUUUCUUCCGUAAUAGUAGAGUGCAGGGCAUUGCAUUUAAUGUUAUUUUAGCAUUUUCAAACCGUCAUGUAGAUUAUGGCAGAGGGUUUUCAUUUUCUUUUGAGCUCAAAGUGAAAACCACCAAAGAUUGUAGUCCCCAUGACACACAGUUAUUUCAGAGCAGAGUUAAUUAUAUAGAAUCAGAUCACUUACAUUUGGGGUACUAUCUGUUCUGUGAAGAGGAUUUUAAAGGUUUUUGGAAAUGCAAUUGCAUUCCUGAGGCAGUCCAAUUUAAUGUUUUUCCAUCUUUGGAGUGUGAGUGCUGUGGGGUGAAAAAAUGUGGGAUCGAUUUAUUUCGAUUCCCAAAUUCUGCGAAACCAAUGGAAGAUCCGAGCACAUGUUUCAACUAUAACGAAGAAGGCUGAUAUUUUCAUGAAUGUAUUUUUAUUUCUUUCCUUUUUCUAAUCAUAAUAAUAGGAGAAGAUGUCAAAAUCAGUUAUUGGAACAAAACAUUCAUGUAAUAACUUUUGAAGGAUCUGGUGCAUGUAACACACAUUCACACUAGAGUAUUGAACUUUACCUCAUUAGAUGAAGAGUAUAAUGUAUGAAAAGCACAUGAUGUGUAUUGUAAAAUUAAAAUUAUUGGCCUUCUUUCCUACAUUGCGCACACAACAAUCCAAAACACAUCUAUCUAAGUAGGAGAGCACGUGAAUUAUAAAUUGUAAAAAAACUCACUCGCUAGCGAUAUGGGAUAUUGUAAGACGCGCAGCAAGUUGUUAUUGGGGGAGCAAUGUUGUGGGCCCAUAUAAGGCCUGACAAGAUAUUGUCUAACUAGACUUGACAAGAUAUUGUCCGCUUUGGACCUUAAUGAGGCUCUUAUAGUUUUGUUUCUAGGGCGUCCAUACACCCCUAAUCGCGUUUUGUCAAUUAAGGUGCGGAUUACUCCUUAUAAACCUAUAAUCUCUCCCUUACUUGUUGAUGUGAGAUUUGCUUAGGGUGUUAUACUCAUCAUGUUGCGCACUAUAUCAACUCUCAUGUAUAUAAUACAAUCACAUUUGAAAAUUUUCUACUUUCUUAAAUCUAAAUUUUUGUACAUGGGAAAGUUUCAUCAUGUGCAAGCAAAAGCCAUUAAGAGGGAACAGUUAAAACACCAUCAAAUCUAUAUAUUUUAAAAAAUAUAUUUGUAUGUGGAUUUUUUUAAAAAAAGAACAAGGUAGGUGUCAUUUUCACUCAACUCAUUUGUGUUGUGAAUCCAUUUGCUAAAACAUGUAUGCACUUUUUCAAGUAUCUAUACUAAUUUCAUAUUCGGAAUGGUGCAUUUGAUUCCAUAGUUGAUGUGGGAGUCUAUGGCUAGAAUUUACCUUUAAAAUAUCAGCUUGGAAGGAAAGGAUUAAAGAUGCCCAUGAACUUAUAUUUCUAUUUAGAAUACUGUAUCUUUUUCAUGCAAAAAAUGGAAUCUUAUCAUUCACAUAUCAUUAACAUAAGCAAUAUAGAUCACGUAUCUUUAUGAUUGUGCUAAAUUUGACUUUUUAUAGAAUAAUUUGAUACAUUUCUUAAAUCCAUUUGGAGCUUCUACAACUUGUUAGGGAUCAGUUUCUCCUACAUUCAUUUCGGCGCCAAACGAUAUUCAAGCGGUUGAAUAAGAAUUGAUAUAUACAACAUAAAUAUAAGAGUUGUUUGUCUUUUUACAAUCGCAAUAAUAUAUAAUGCACAUAUAAAUGCAUUCAUGUAAUUCACAGAGUCAGAGAUAUUGCAUACAAAAGUUAAAUACAUGCUUUGAACCUAUACAAAAAAAAAUUACAGUCGAAAUUACGUAGAAGAUGAAUAAGGAGCUAAAUUUUUAUUUACCCAACAAUCAUCUCGCUACACAAUUCACAACAAGAAAGAGCAAUCUUGUUUGGCUAACCUGCGCCCGUGAGGAAUGGAGGCACUAAAGCCAUGGAUAUGGAGCAGAGGUGGAGAAUUGGGAUGUGAAUUUGGAAUUGAAGAAACCAAGUAAUUGAUGGAGUAUUGGCCCUUCCAUUUCCACAUUUUGCAACUCUUCCUUACCUCAUUAACCUCCAAUUCCAGCGCAGCUGAAGUAGAAUCCCUCCACUGCUACUGUUAGUAUAACUGAUGGUAACAUUUUGUCUCUUCUUUUUGUCCUUAUUCCUCUGCUGCAACUGCAACUUAAACUGCCAACUCUUAUUGCUCAAUACGGGCAUGAGCAGGCCCUUUCGAUUUCCAUCCCCAAUUCCGAGUGUUGUUAACUUGUUAUUGGAAUAAUGGGAGAGGGAGCCCGAGCACAUACUCAUUCUUUUCUUGCUUUUUCAAUUGAAUAUUUUCCGUGGCCUAGACGGGCCUGCCCUUUCCCUGCUUCUACCUCUAUGAGACUGACUACGACAGAACUUUUUAUUUAUUUAUUUAUGAGGCUUAUUCCACUAUUAUAUGAAAAUUUUACUGAUAUUCCUCAAAAAUCAAAAUGCCUGAAACGAAUAUUAAGCGCUUUACUAAAAUACUCUGUGUGAUGGAACCUCCACCCAAUAAUUUUUGCAUACCCAUCUCAUUUUUUUAAAAAAAUAAUUAUAAAAAGUAUAGACUAUUUUUAAAAAUCUUCAAAUAAAGAAGAACUUUAGAGGAUUAAUUAAUUAAAUUUAUUUUAAUUUAUUUUUUUGUGACUCAAUUUUUUUAUUAUAUUUGACUACAAAGAUUACUUUGGCAUAAGUUUAAAUUCGAUUUUACUCUUACAAGGUAAAACUAACAAGAAUUUACUUUAAUAUUUUUCUAAUUUUAUACCCAACUCAAGGUUUCUAAUACUACUUUAUUAGUAUGAGUAUUAAUCCUUAAUUAAACUAAUAUAGUGUCUUUAUGGCAUAUACUAAUGUAAAUUGUUGAGAUGUCAAAUUUAUGCCAUUUACACGUAAGGGUAGUAAAAGUAAUAAUUAGAUUUCAUUUAAAAAUAUUAGAUUAUAAAUCAAAAAAUUGAAUACUUAAAUUAUUGGAUACAAUAACACAUGUUUAUUGAGGCAAUUUAGUCGUUAUAUAUCAGAAUAAUAAUGAACUAAAAUAAAACUUAUAUUAAAGAUUAUGAUCAAAGAUGGUCAAAGAACUUAAGAUUGAGCAAAUCCCUUGACUGCAAAAAUUAGAUCAAGCAAAGCUUGCAUUCCCUAUAGUUAAAAAAGGAAAAAAAUCAUUACUAUUACCCUUAAAUUUUAAUUAAACAAAAAACGAAGCAAGAGUGAAUAGAGUAAUACCAAAGCAAAUUUAGGAUUGUUAGGUCCAAUUUGUGGACCAACUUCUGAACUUCUAAUAGUAGACUUAGGAGGAAGGAUUUGAAGAAGCUACGGCGGCCGCGAAUACGCAUCAAGAUUCACACUGCUCCUCACUUUGAGGGCCAAAAGAGUGCGGAGGCGAGACAAAGCUGACGCGCGAUUCUUGUGCUACGAUCGGUCUUUAGCGGCCUGCGCUAUGAAGCCAGUCGGUACGUGCUUGAGACGUACGGCGGAUUCAUGCUUGUUGCGGUGCUGACCGCCUGGUCCUGACGAUUUGUACGUGUCCAUUUCGCAUUCGCGAAACAGCUCAUCGUCCGUCAAUUCUAAGUAAUUCUUCUUCGAAGAAGAAGAAGUUGAAGAACAAUUGUCAUUGGUGUUGUAAUUACAAGACAAGAACAAUGGCUGAUAAUUCCAGCAACACAUUCUUAUAGUAGGCCCAGCCUAAUCCAGCCCAGUCGCGCUAGUGAGCGACUUCUCACCUAUCUUAUAUGCAAUGAUUAUGGGCUGGUUGGAUGUAGUUUAUCUAAUAAGUCUUUAUUUAGGGCCAAUUUAGGAUUGCGAAGGUUGAUGAAAUAAACUACUUGUACUGUAUAGAUAAAAUAAGUUGCUAAUUAAAAAAGUAGCUAAGUAUUUGGUAAAUUGCGUUGUUACAGUUACUGUAAGUUUGAAAAGUAGAGUACAUGCGUUUGGUAAAUUUUAUUACAAAAGUAAUGUUUUAUUAUAUGAUGACCAAAAUAGAAAUAAGUUUAAAUUAUCUUUUACUUUUAUAGUAUAUUUAAUAAAUCAUUUAGACAUACCUUUUCUUCUUAAACAUGUAAAAUUACAUUAAAAAACUCAAUUAACAACAUGGAUAUAAAAUAAAACAUGGGUAAAGAAAAGAGUAUAGGGAAAAGGACAUUUACACCCCCAAGGUUUGGGAAAAUGGUCACCAACACCCCCAAAUUUUUAAAGAGGGACAUCCACACCCCCUUUUGACCAUUAUACCCUUUACCUCUAUUAUUCUAGAAAAAUCGACUCUAAUAUUUUACAAUAAAUAUAAAUAUAAUAUUAAAAUAAAUUUAAUAAUAUAUACAUUUUAAAAUAAUUUAAAUAUUUAAAUAUUUUAUAAUCUAUUAGAUAUAUUUUAUUAUAUUAAAGUAAAUUUUAUGAUAAAUAGAAUCAAAAAAUAAAAAUAAAGGUAUUAAAUAUUUAAAUUAUUUUGAAUAUUAUGUAAAAUAAUUAUUUUAACAAUAUUAGUAUGUUAGAAUGUUUUUAAUUGUAGAAUGUAUUUAAUGCAAAUAUUUAUUUAAAAUCUCUACAAUAAAUAAAAAUACAUUAUUAAAAUAAAUAUAAUAAUUUAAAUAUUAAAAUAUUUUAAUAUUGUUAGCUACUACAUAGAUUGGAUUAUUUACAUGGUAUUUGUAUUUAAUAAAAAUUUUAAAGUCAAUUUUUUAGAAUAAUAGAGGUAAAUGGUAUAAUGGUCAAAAGAGGAUCUCGGUGUCCCUCUUUGCAAACUUGGGGGUGUUGGUGACCAUUUCCCCAAACUUGAGGGGUGUAGUUGUCCUUUUUCCAAAACUAUUUAGAAACAAAUAUGAACUUACUGGAUAAAAAUUAGAUAUAAAAAAAUAUAAAUAUAUAUAGAUUAAAUUUUAAAAGCCAUAGUUAUGGAAUUACAAUAUGAACUUAUUGGAUAAAAACUGGAGAAAACGUACGUGGUUACAACGGUAACUAAAUUAUGGCGGUAAUAUAAUAUCUAAUGAUUUAUAUAUUAGGGUUUAUAAAUAAGUAAGAUAUAAUUUUUUUAUGAAAAUACUAGGUUUGUAAUAGGAAUUUUUAAGAAGUGUUGUAGCUUAUUGAAUAAGUUGCUUAUGAAGAGCAGCUUAUGAUAUCUAAUGAUUUAUAUAUUAGGGUUUAUAAAUAAACAAGAUAUAAUUGUCUUUUUAUUAAAAUACCAAGGUUGUAAUAGGAAUUUUCAAAAAUGUUAAAAUGUUUAAAAUAUUCUUUAUUUAUUUGACAAUCUUAUUUUAUUUUUUAUAACAUAACUUUAAAAAACUUGUCUAUUAAAUUAAUUUUAUAAUUUGUAAUAAAAGUUUUCAUUGACAACCAAACAAUUAAAUUUCUUUUUAGUAACUCUAUUUAUAAAAGUUCUACUGACAAAAGGUCGAUUUAAAUAAGCUCUAUUUAAAAGUUAUACUAAACACAGGGAUGACAAAAAUCCCCACGGGGACGGGUACCCUCGAGGAUUUUUCCCAUUCGGGGAGGAUAUGGGGAUAAUUUCAUACCCAAUUUCUUAUUCGGGGAAGGGACAGGGAAAUUUUUUUACCCAAUUUCUUAUUCGGGGAGGGGACAGGGAUGAGGUGGAAUCUCCAUCCCCUACCCAUUUCCCCAUUUUAAUUUUUAAUUUUAUUUUAAUUUUUUAAAAUUACUAGCAAAAAAAUAAAUUUUAAAUUAUAAAAUUAUAAAUAUUGGUAAAAAUAAAAAAUGUCAAAAUAUUUAUAUUAUUAAACUUUUAGGCCUAAUUAACUAAUUAAAGUCCUAAAUUUUUAUUUAGGACAUUAAAAAGACCGAGUAGAUUCUAUUAGCCCAACAUUUUUUUUAAUUUUAAUAUUCUUUAAAUAUUUUAAACUUAAAUCUAUUUUUUAUUUAUUUUUAGAUGUUAUAAUUGCCCACAGCGAAUCACAAUUUUAAUAUCUAAUCUAAUCUAAUCUAAUCUAAUAUUUGCUCUUGAUUUGCUCCGAUUUAACUAUUGUGUUAUAAAGGGAAUAGUCCACAUUUAUAAAGUGCUCACGCCACCAUUGAAAAAGUUAAUUUUCAAUCUAAAUUCGAUUUUAUUUGUAACAAUUUUUGUAUUAGACUAUUAAUUUGUUCAUGAUAGUUUCUAAAAGAAGUUUGUAUCCUUUGCAUGUUGCGUUACUUACUAAUUUAAUGUAUGUGAAUUUUGUAAUAGAUAUUAAUGUAAGAUAUAUUUCGAGCUUUACUUUUAUUUGAAUUUUUUAUUUUAAUAUGAUUAACUCAAAAUCGAAAAUAAAAAAAAUAUAUUAGUUAUUCGGGGAUCGGGGACCCUCGGGGAUCCCUGUUAUUAUUCGGGGAGGGGAUGGGGAUUCUCUCAAGUAAUUCUGUCGGGGACGGGGAGGGGACAUGGACAUACGCAAAAUAUCGGGGAUGGGUACGGGGAGAUCGGUCCCCUCCCCUCCCCUCCCCAUUGCCAUCCCUACCAAACAGAUCCAACAGUAUCAUUGACGCAAGCAAUAUUAUUAUUCUAUUAUUUUUUAACUCAUGUGGCUAUGUAUCAUUUGAAAAAUACUAUUAUAAGAGGGAGGGAUAUAAUUUAUGCUGGAAUAUUCUCAAAAUAAAUGGCGUGCCUUAAAAGGUGUCUUAUUGUAAAAUACAUCUAACUAAAUAUUGUCAUAUACAAGAAAAAUGUAUCCUUUUUUUUAUAUAUAAAAAAAAAAAGAUGUAUCUAUUCAUGGUGCCAUAUUUUUAUUUGAAAUGAUGGUGGUUGAUCUUGGACCAGUGAUGAUUUAAUUCAAAUUUUGAUCCAAUAACCAUGGAUAGAGGGUGUCAUAAAAGGUAACAACCCAAAUGAAGGGGCACAUGAUUAUCUAUAAAUAGAAGUCACAACAUUUUCUAUAACUAGAAGUUACGCCAUUUUGUGAUCCAUAUAAUCUUCUUGCACCACUCUUUUUUUAUUUAACCCCUCUUUCCUAAAACGAAUUUAUGCAUAAUACAUCUAUAUUUUAUGCAUCAAAUCUCUAAAAUAUUAUUUUUUGCAGGAACAAUAUAUUGAUUUUUCGUAGGCUUGCAACACAGAAGGGUAUUUAGGUUUGCUUUUAUUAGUGCAUAAUACAGGCAAAUAAAACAAGCACUUCAUUAUAUCAUGGAGAUAUAUUUGCUUAACUCAUAUAUAUCACGCAAAUGCAGGAGGGAGUAACUAACUUCUUGAGGAAUGCAACAUUGUGUCUGGCAGCACUGUCAAUUCUCACAGUGUACUAUUCUUAUUAUUAUUAUGAUUAUUAUUCUUUGUACCUAUAAAAUUUCAUCUAUUUUUCUCCAAUUUUCCACAAUUAUUACUCCCCACGAAUAUAUUUCCAAUAUUUUAUUUCAUAUACUUACUUCUGCUACUAGUACGAUAACAAAAUAUGUAUUUUUGAACUACAUUAGUUUCUAGAUCCAUUUUAUUGAUAAAUUAACCGAACGCACCAUCCAUUAUUUAAUUUAUGGGUCACAUAAGUCAUAAGUAGUUGAAAUAAAAUGUUUGUUUGGUAGAUAAAAUCGAUUUUUAAAAUACUUUAAAAGAUUUUAUUUCUAUGAAGCCUAGUCCAACAUAGAAAAUCAAAUAAAAUUAAUUUUCAUCACUACUCGAGAGACUCAAAGAGUAGUAGAGUACUAAGGUAGCAUUUAUUUUUUUAUAUAAAAUUUGAGUAGGCCUGAACUUGGGUGAAGUCUGAAUAUAAAUGUCUAAAUAAUAUGUUUAUUUUUUUAAUAUCUGAAAAUUAAGUGACUUCUUAUUUAUUUUUAUAAUUUUAAAAAACCAAACAUAGUUAUUUAAUAUUUUUGUCCUUAUAAGUCAAAAUGAAUAAAAGAAUUAUGCUUUAUAGUUUAGGAAAUAACUAUAUUUAAUAGAAAUAUCUUUAGGGUAUAGUAUUUACUUUCCAUUUCGAUAAAAGUAACAAAAAUUCACUUUUUGUAUUCAAAUGUAAAUAUGUAAAACUCACACAUAAGUUCCUAAACGUAAACAAGCAACUUCAAGAAAUAAAAAAAAGUUAUGUAGCUUUUGUUUUAAACAAAAAUAAUAAAUAAUAAUAAUUUUCAAAAUUAAAUACAGUAUCACCCUGCUCAUUGCUGAUAGUUUUGAAAAUUAAGUUAUGGUGUUCAUGUGGAAAUUUCAGCUAAAAGUCCACAAAGUAAUUUCAGUCAUCGUAGUCCACGGUGCUUGGACAAUGAGAUGACAUUGAAAAAUUAUCACGGAACUUCAAGGGAGGUUCAUAGCAUCGAUUUAUUCUACAGAGUCACGCUCAUUUUGGCUUAGAAAUUGUUUUCAUAUGAUCAAAAUCUCUCCCAAAUCAAUCCAACUGUCUCUGUUAAUUAUGGCAACAAGAAAUAUGAUGUUUUUUUAGUUUUUUGGGUAGAUAAUCUCAAUUUUAAAAUACUUCAAAAGAUUUUCAAACAUAAGAUACAAUGGUAUACAACUAAAGCCUAAUCCAACAUAGAAAAAUUAAAUAAAAUUAAUUUUCAUCACUACUCAGAGAGAAUUGAAAGGACAUUAAGGUAGUGUUUAUUUUUUUUAAUCUAAAAUUUGAAUAGGCCUGAAUUUGACUGAAAUCUAAAUGGGUUUGAAUAUAAAUGUCUCAAUAAUAUUUUUCUUAAUAUCUAAAAAUUAAGUGGCAUCUUAUUCGUUUCUAUAAUAAAAAAAAAACAUAUCAAACGCUGUUAUUUGACAUUUAUGCCCUUACAAGUCAAAUUGAGUAAAAGGGAUUAGGCUUCGUAGUUUAGGAAAUAACUUUAUUGAAUAGAAAUAUUUUUAGGAUAUAGUAUUUAUUUUGCAUUCAAACAUUUUCUCAUUUUGCCAAAGGUCACAGAAAUUUACUUUUUUAAUUUAAAUGUAAAUGUCUAAAAAUCAGACAUAAGUUACAAAAAAAAUUAUUAUUAUUAUUAUUAUUAUAAAGUUAGACUUCAUUUAUUUAACAAUCAACCGUAAGGAACAUGAAAAAGAGCUAUUAAAAAAAAAAAAAGAAUACUUUUGAAACUAAAUAUAAUUAGUUGAGAGAUGAGGACCGAUAAGAUAAAUUGAGAGAUAAAAACUAAAAUAUCAUCCCCUCAUUGUUGAUAGUUAUGAGUAUGAAAGCACAGAAGCCGUGUGUUGAAAACUAUGGUGUUCAUGUGGAAUUUUCAGCUAAAAGUCUACAAAGUAGUGGAAUUAAUCAAUCAUCGCGGAGUGCACGGUGGUUGGACAAUGAAAUGAAAUUGAAAAAUUAUCACGGAACGUGAAAGAAGGUUCAUGGCAUCGAUUUAUUGUACAGAGUCGCGCACAUUUGGUUCAAUAAUUGUUUUCAUCCGAAUCAAAUCUCUUUCUAAUCAAUUCAACUGAUUUUGUUGAUUAUGGCUUCUUCUUCUCAAAACAACAAGAAGUAUGAUGUUUUUGUUAGUUUCAGAGGAGAGGACACCCGCGACAACUUUAUUAGCCAUCUCUGAUAUGCUCUAUGUCGACAAAAUAUCCAAACUUUCAUUGAUGACCAACUUAAUAGAGGAGAUGAAAUUUCGGAGUCACUUGCGCAUGCAAUUGAAGUAUCAGCCAUUUUAGUUAUCGUCUUCUCAGAAGGGUAUGCAUCUUCCAAAUGAUGUCUCGAUGAACUUGUAAAGAUCCUCAAGUGCAAGAAAGAGUAUGCACAUAUUGUGAUUGUUGGGAAAUUGAUGGGUGAAGCAGGACCACAAGUAAAAUGAAAUUGGAAGAAAAUAAAGAACAAGCUCAAAAGAGGAAUCAGAAAUUACGUGGUUCGGCUUUUAACCUACAUCCACUGGUGAAGAUAGAAGGAAAAUAUUUUACUAGUGAAAAGGAAUUACAAGUAUUGUGGUAUUUUAGCUCACUACCCAAAAUCCCAAUACACCCAAACUCUCAAAUCACAAAUCACUCAAGAGUUUGUUAAAACUCUUAAAAUACUCUCACUUUCUCUCUAAAGAAGAAGAAAUAAAAAUGAAAAAAUUGGAUGCACUAAACCGAUGGGGAACUCCCCUUUUUAUAGCCAAAAUUGGCUAUUAAAAUAAUAAUUUUUUUCUUGGGCGGCACCCUUUCUUCUUCUUCCAAUUUCUUCUUUCUUUUUUUUCUUCAUUCCAAAUUUGCUGCUGCCAAAUUCUUCUUUUUUUCUUCAACAAUUUCGGCAUUCAAAAUGGGCUGCAUCUAGAACGGUUGGCUUCUAGAUUUGCAACAUCCAUUUUUGACAUUCUCCCACUUGGAGAUUUGAUUGAGAAUUAAUCAAUCUCCACACCAUCCUUUCUGCUUCGCCAUUGUCAUGGUGCUUAUGUCUUUACUAGGCCACAAGAGGAUCUAUUCCAUACAAACUUGUCGAUAUUAAUUGGCUUGGUCAUAACAUCUGCUAGGUUUUCCUUUGUAUGGAUUUUCUAUAAAACCACACUUCCGUCUUCCACUACUUCUCAAAUGAAGUGGUAUUGAACUCCUAUGUGCUUUGUUCUAAAAUGAAAGACUGGAUUUCUUGCAAUGUGCAAAGUACUCUAACUAUCACAAACUUUCAUUGAUGACCAACUUAACAAACGAGAUGAAAUUUCAGAGUCACUUGUGAAUGCAAUUAAAGCAUCAGCCAUUUCAGUUAUCAUUUUCUCUAAACACUACGCUUCUUCCAGAUGGUGUCUUGAUGAACUUGCAGAGAUCAUCGAGUGCAAGAAAGAGCAUGCACAGAUUGUGUUACCGGUUUUCUACCGCGUUGAUCCAUCAGACGUGAGAAACCAAAAAGGGAGUUUUGGGGAUUCAUUUUCAAAGCUUGAAGAAAGAUUUGAGCAAAAUUCGGAGAAGCUGCAGACAUGGAGGAAGGGAUUGAGAGAAGCGGCUGGUUUGUCUGGAUUUCAUUAUCGUAGCAUCAGGUGAAAGUUACUUUUAAUUUCUCAUGCUAAUAUUUAACACUGUAAAUAAAAUUCAUGCAGCAUUCUUAGUUAAAUUUCCGGAUGCUAAACUACAAUUUUAAAUUUUUUAGGCAUCAAAUUCUAGGCUUCUUGACUUCCCCACUUUUGAACCUUGAUGAUUAUGAAAGAAUUUUGACAGAAUUAAUAAUAAAAGCCCGAUAAUUUUACAAUAUAUUUAACAAAAUUAAUGGUGGUCUGUCGUUUUUUUAAGCAAUUUCGAUCUCACAUACCUCCAUCAGCAAAACAAAAAGAAGUCACACAUAUUCCUAUAAUUUAAGAGUUAUUAAUUUAUAGGGAGAUUGUAGUGGUAUAUAUUAAUUUCAAUUGGAAAACUAGCAAUCUCCCUUAUUUCAUAUUUGAUGCAAAUCCCUCCUAUUUGAAGCUACUGCUGCUAAUUUUAUGUAUUUGGCAGGCCUGAAUCAGAACUUAUAAACGAAGUUGUUAAUCACAUUUUGAAGAGACUGAUGGAAGAAGUGUUUCGGCCGCGUGAUAACAAAAGCCAGCUGGUUGGAGUAGAAUCAAGAGUUGAGGAAAUUGAAUCUCUACUAAGUGUUGAGUCGAAAGAUGUUUACGCUUUAGGGAUUUGGGGCAUUGGUGGUAUAGGCAAAACAACAAUCGCUAGAGCUACUUUCGACAAAAUCUCUAGAUAUUUUGAAGGUUCUUGCUUCCUUGAAAAUGUUAGAGGAGAGUCACAAAGAACGGGAGGAUUAGCUUGCUUGCGACAAAAACGUCUUUCAAAUUUAUUGAAGGAUGAAAAUGUGAUUCCUGGUAUUGACCUCAAUUUUAGAGGCUCAGCCUCAUGAAGGUUCUGAUUGUUUUUUAUUAUGUGACUUGCUUCAGCCAAUUAGAAUCUAUAAUUGGAAGUCUUGAUUGGUUGAUGCCUGUGAGUCGAAUCAUAAUAACCACCAGAAAUAAACAAGUGCUUAGAAAUUGGGGGGUGAGGAAAAUAUAUGAGAUGGAGGCAUUAGAAUAUCAUCACGCUCUUGAGCUUUUUAGUCGACAUGCCUUCAAACAAAACCAUCCUGAUGUUGGUUAUGAGGAACUUUCAAGUAAGGCAAUGAAAUAUGCUCAAGGUGUUCCUUUAGCUCUUAAAGUUUUGGGUUGCUUUCUAUAUGAAAGGGUAAAAGAAGUCUGGGAAAGUACAAUAAAUAAAUUGUAAAGAAUCCUCCAUCCAAGUAUUCUAGGGGUAUUAAAAAUAAGUUAUGAUGGUUUGGAUAAUAAAGAGAAAAAUAUUUUCCUUGAUGUUGCUUGUUUCUUUCAAGGUGAGGAUGUAAAUCUUAUAAUGAAAUUCCUUAAUGCAAGCGGCUUCUACCCAGAAAUAGGAAUAAGUGUUCUCGUUGAUAAGUCUCUUAUAAUCAUAUCAAAUAACAACAAGAUAACUAUGCAUGAUUUGCUACAAGAAUUGGGUAGGGAUAUUGUUAGUCAAAAAUCAAAUGAUCCUGGAAACCGCAGUCGGUUGUGGCAUCACGAGGAUAUCUACGAAGUUCUUACAUAUAAUACGGUAAGCAAUUUGCUGUGGAUUAUUACUUUGGAAUAUUCUAGCAUUUACAAACUUGAUAUGUAAAUAUUUAUAUACCCUCGAAUUGAUGAAGCUAGAAUUAAUAGUGGUUAUAAAUGCCGUGACAACUUGUAUAAUUCUUUGUAAGGAUAGUUUAUAUUGUCAAUUUGUAUUGUAUCCCACAUGCGUAAAUUUCAUGUUUAGUAUUACUUGUAUUAUUAUGUUCCUUUGUGCGUUUGCAAUUAAGAGUUUCACUGCCUAGCAAUGACUAUAUAAACAUGAAUUACUGAAAUUUGAUUCAAGCAAUGAUAAAAAAUUCCACUCCAAUCCCACCUCAAUUCCACACAAGAGUGAAAAAAAAAGGUUGAAUUAAUAACUAAGUUACCCCUUGUUGUGAAUCAAUGGCAAACAUGCCCCAAAAAUUUGUCUCGGUGGGGUUGAGGUGCAAUUCAUUGGUGGGAUAUAAAUAUCAUUUUUCAUUUUUUUAUUGAUUAUUAGGGGACCGAAAAAGUUGAGGGCAUCUGUUUGAAUAUGUCCAAAGUGAAAGAGAUUCACCUAAAUCCCAAUACAUUCACAAAGAUGCGGAAAUUGAGAUUUUUAAAAUUCUAUAGCUCAUCAUUCAACGGAGAGAACAAAUGUAAGGUGUCUUAUUUGCUGAAGUGAAGUAUCUCUGUUAAAGUAUGAGCUUUAAACUGAUUUCCAGAAGAUCAACCGUCAUGUCAGUUUGUGUUUAUUUUGGUAUACGACAUGUCAGCUGUAAAGCAUACAAGUCUGUGUGACAAACUUGUAUCGUCAUCCAAAGUCUAUUAAGUAAAGCACGCAAAUGUCACGUGCUUUCACUUACUCCAUACGGCAUGGAAGACUGUCAUUUUGGGGGUCACUGCUUGGAAGAAAUCAACACAUGUCCUCAAGGUUGUUAAUGACAGCUACAACAGGCGGGAGAACUCUGGGUUUUGUUAGCUAACAAACCCAGAUUACAGCUGGUUGACAGGGGAUAUUUGUGAAGGGCUUUAAGCUAGUAUAAGUAGCCUUAAGGGUUGGGAAAUCAGUAGUUGUAUUGUGUGUCACUUCGUCUCUAAACUUGUAACUUGUUCUUGGUGAUUGAAUAAAAGCUGCUGCUCUGUUCUUCAGUGGAUGUAAGCUGUCUUCAGCUGAACCACUUAUAUUUGUUGUUCUUUGCUUAUUGUUUCUGGGUGAUUCUUUUGUGUGAAUUCGAUUAUCCAUUUUCUAGAUCAUUGUUAGAAAGUUCAGCUAGGUCCUGGAGAUUCUUGAUUGGAUACUAAAUCUAAUCUUGGUUCAACAAUCUCCACUGGCAUGGAUAUCCAUUGAAGUCAUUGCCUUCAAACAUUAGUGCAGAGAAGCUUGUGUUUCUUGAAAUGCCUAAUGGCAGCAUUGAACAACUUUGGGAUGGUAUGAAAGUAUGUAUAACUUAAUAGUUUGGGAUGGUAUGAACAUUAUCAACUUUGGGUUUGGGAUGGUAUGAAAGUAUCUCCACACUUUGAAAUUCUUGAUCUCAGUGGUUGCUUAAAUCUUCAGAGAUUGUCCGAAUGUCUUGGCCAGUCGUCCUCUCUAGGAACAUUGCUUCUAGAGAAAACCAAUAUUGAGAGAAUACCAGAAAGCAUCAUCCAAAUUUCUGUGUUGACUUACCUCCGCUUAAGCUAUUGUGAGAGGCUUCAAUCCGUACCAAAGCUUUCAUUUCUUGUACGAUGGUUAGAUGCCGAUCAUUGCACAUCGCUGCAAUCAUUAGCAGGUUUAUUCUCAAGUUCUGAAUCUUAUACAUAAGCAGUGUUUUUUUACUAGAGCAAUAAUUUUAAAUCGGAUGGUAAUUCUACUGCAGGAAUUGUUGAAGAUGCCCUGCAGAGAAUUCAGCUUAUGGCAGCUGCCCAAUGGAAAGAAGUACAGGAAAAGGUGUGUUUUUAACUCUCUUCUUUCAAUUUAUAUAUAUAUAUAUAAUUUUUUUUUUUCAGUUAUCAAUUUUAUUUUUUAUUUUUUGCCGAUUGAUUUUCACAUGAACGGAGGUCAAAUCUUACUACUCGGGAAUGAAAUUCCGAAGUGGUUUGAGUUUCAAAGUGUGGGAUCUUUUUUAACCUUGGAGAUGCCACCAGAUUCCUUCAAUAAUAACCGAGUACUACUGGGCUUUGCAUUUAGUGCUUUUGUAGCAUUUUCAGACCGUCAUGUAGAUAAUGACAGAUGGUUUUCAUUUUCUUGUGAAUUCAAAGUGAAAACCGAAGAUUGUGAUCCUCAUGUCACACGGAGAGAUUUCUUAAGCGCCUUGCUUACGUAGAAUCAGAUCACUUACUUUUGGGGUGCUAUUUUUUCAGUGAGGAGGAUUUCAAUGGUUUUUGGAAAUAUAAUUGCGUUCCUGAGGCAGUCUUACUAAACCAUGACUUCCAAUAAAUCAUGCAGUAACAUUACUUUGUACCCUUUUUCAGUUUUUCUUACUCUCUUGCAUUUUUUAGAGUACAUAUACCAUGGAGAAGUCUAUGUUUGUAACGCCACAAAUUUCCAUAAUAUUAAAUUAUGGAAAUUGGGCUUUCAUUAAUAAUUAUGGGUGCUUAUAACCCUUUUUAAGAAAAUGAUACUAAAUUAUAAAUAGAGUUUAUUUAUGAGAUAGUUUUGAAAAAGGGUUAUUUUUCCUUAUUAAAUAGGGUUUCUUACGAUUCCCUAUAAAUGUCUACUUUUUCCCUUUCCAUAACCCUAAGUUCACGACGUUUAUUCUUCUUCUCUGCUGCUCUUUACGCUCCUACCCAAAUCUUAGGAUUCAAACCUUUGUUUAAGAGAGAAUCAAAGCGACGGGUAAGUUAUUAUCCCUAUUCUCAACAGAUUUCUAAUCACUCUAUCUAGGGUUUAUAUUGGCACGAUUCUAAAUGGUUAUAGAUCAUAAUGCAUGAUUUAGAAUGUAUUUAGGCGUUGUUUAUCGUCUUGAUUUAUUAUGAGUUUAGUUAAUCAAUCCUUGACGUAUUAAGCACAGGAUAAUUCUGGACAGCAUGAGUAUCUCGAAUUUAAACCUAUACUUUCUGAACGAAUUUUCUUAUAAAAUUUAUAUUUCUGGAAACUAGACAUGUAGGGCUUCUUGAGUAAAUUUUAUUUCAUUAAAUUCGACUUCUUUUUUAAUUUUAUAUGUAUUUUCGAAAUAGAAACCACUGCACUGGAAAACUGCGAUUCCAGCAUUGCGAUCGGAUUCACAAGACUAUUUGUACCACCCAAUGAACUCGGAAAAUUCUGAAAGUCUAUAUGUAGGUUAAUAUAUGUGUCUAGGAUUCCCAGUUUUAAUUUCAUAAUUUUCUGAUUAGUAUUUUAUUUUAUAAAAAUCAUGAAAACCGUUCUGUUUGGUUUAGAUUAUGUGAAAACAGUUUCGAAUUUGCUGAGAAGUAAAUAGUUUUUAAAAUGUUUUUGAUAUCGGAUCCUCUUGUAAAUUUUACAUGGGGUACUCAUGGAUGUCCAGAAUAGUUCCACAGAAUAUUAUAUCAUUCUGAGUUUUAGAUUAAGAGUUAAAAUUCUGAGAAUCAGACUUGUACGGGUAUGAAUUAGAAAAUCAGAUUCUUAGAAUAAGUUAUUAAUUGUCAUAUCUUGUAUUUGUUUAAGGUAUUGAAGGUGAUUGAGGCUCUUAGAAGCUUAGAGGUGUGUUAAUUCAAAUUCAUUUGUCGAGGUAAGUAACUUCAUUCCUAGUAUACUGGAUAUGUAUAAGUAUUUUGAUAUUAUUAUAAGUAUAAAUCUUUUUAAACUACUUAAAGGAUUAAUUGAUUUUGAUAACAAAAUUAGUUUUAUGCAAAUGUUUUCAAACCUAAAUUCUUUUUAACAAAGUAUUUUAUAAAUUCUUUUUAAUAGGUAAAUGAUUUUAUGACAUGACAACCUUUUAUGAUUUUAUCUUUAAAAUGUUAUGCAAGCCUAAAUUAUUGAUAUGAACUUUUAUGAAUCUGAUACAAAUGUUUUAUACCCAUGUUUGAUUUCAAUUAUUGAUGAUUGUAUGGGAUUCCUAAUGUUUUGGCUCAUUGUCCAUAGUUAUUCUGAUUCUGAUUCUAAUUCUGAUUGUAAUAUACGAUAUAUCUGUCUGGACCAGUAUUGGGUUUUUGUUUGAGUGUGCACGCGAUAUUCUGAUUCUUUUUCUGGCCGGGUCACCGGGACUAGAGGUGACACUAUGUGACAAGAGCUAACCUUUUGUUUUCUGUAUACAUAUUAUAUGAUUUACUUCGUAAGUAAAUAUGCUUUUGGAUAUUCUGAAUUAUUAAGAAUUUAUGUUAUGUUAUCAUGAUAUAUUGUUUUAUGAAAUUUAUGGAUUAUGAUAUAUGUUUUAAACAAAAGAAGGCUUGCAAUAUUUUUAUAUCGAUAGGCCUAGUAUGUUAGAAAUGGUUUUACUUACCGAGUUGACGGCUCACCCCUCGUCAUUACUUUUUACAAAUUAAGUUUCUUUUGAGAGGUGCGCUUAGCUUUGGAGUUAGUAAUUUUCCGUUUCCGUUUGCCAUUUGAAUAAGAGGAGGAAUAGAUUCGUGUUUCUAUUUAGUUAUUUCUAUUAUGAACGUGUAAUUUGGAGUUUGAGACUUUUGUUAUUAUUUUUAUGUCCUCGGGAGAGAUUAUUUAGUAUUAGAUGUUUGAAUUUGUGGAUUUAUUUGAAUAAGAAUUGGAGGUAUUUCAGUUUGAAACUUAUGAGUAAAGAUUAUGAUUUGUGAGUAACCUCCUUCUUCACGUGCUGCGCACGUGUUAGAUUUGGGGUGUUACAAUGUUACGGCUUGUGUAAGUAAGAGCAGCCAAUGGGGAACUUCCACGAGUGCUAGAGGAGAGAGAAAGAGGUCCAAAUGCAAUUAUGCAAGGUGAUGGAAAUGGGAAAGUUCGAAGCUGUUACUUGCAGCUUCCGCACCGUAGCGGUGUCCGUACAUCAUUAGCUCUUUUGAAAUCUUAUAUUAUAAGAUUUAACAAAAAAAAUGGUACGUUGUUGAUGACUACACUAAGUUUUCUUCUUCUUCUUCUUCUUCUUUUUUUUGAAAGUUUUAAUUUUAGGAUAUCUGAGUGCAUGCCCGGUGGCUUAGCCUCAUGUGAAAUUUCUUCAUGAGAUAUAAGAGGCCUUUUCAAAUUGAAAGUUUUAAAAAAAAUGUUUCUUCAUUAAAAAAAAGUCCUUUAUUUAAAUUAACAUUCUUGCUUUUUUAGAUGCAGAAUUAUAAAUUUAAAUCUUAUAUUAUAAUUUAUACAAUGAUACUGAUUUAAAAUUUAUUUAAAAAAAUCUUUUUUGAUGAUUUUGAUCGUUUUCCACCUUUGGAGUGCGAGUGCUGCGGGGUGAAAAAAUGUGGGGUCCAUUUACUUUACAUCCAACAAGUGAGGACAAACCAGUAAAUAAAUCAUGAAGUUACACACUAGUCUGCUUUCGCACUCAUUCGGAACUAUCAAUGAUACUUACUGCAGGUAUGGUGUAUAAAUUAUACUAAAGUAAAGGCUGGAUCAAUAAGAAAUUCAAAAUGUUUCAUCACAUUUGGGGCUUGACGAUGCCAAAGAAAGACCAUACCAAUUAUCACGAUUGGUAAAAUGUGAACAAGAACAAGCAUACAUUCAAGAAAGCAGAGAAGCAUCAUUAAAAUAAAGCAUUCUUCUCACUAUUCUAUAUUGUUGGAAAAUGGACCAAAAUAAAAAAGAAACCAUAUAUGGAACGUCACAACAAGAAUAUUUGUGCAUUUGGAGAUCAUAGGAUAUUGGGAAGACAUCGGCAGAAAAGUACAAUUUUUUUUUCGUUGGGGGGGGGGGGGGGGAAGGAACAGAGAAGUGCAAGUCAAAAAGGAGAAAAAAUGAAAACAGAGAGAUGAAAAGGAAUGCAAUCUAAUUAAUCGUCUAAGGAGGCUACUAUGCUACAUUUAGCCAUUUGGUUGAAUAAGCAGCUUGUCUUCUAGUACAACUUUAAAUUUACCAAGAUUGAGAAUUUUCCUUCUGAAGAAAAGUAAUUUCUAUAGCGGCUAUUACCAUCUUCAUCCCAACGGUAAGCAGCUCCAUACUAAGGAAAGAGUGAAAUAGGUGUGCUUUACUUAUAGAAGCCCGUUCCUGUCCAGAGUGAUUAGUAAGUUGUUUCACCACGACCCCCAUUAUGGUGACUUAAAAAAGAAAAAAUAUAUAUAUAUAUUUGCCCAACACAGAAGUAGCACCCAAGAAGUCCUACUUAAGAGGCUUCAUACCCUGCACAAAUCGGAAAGGUUUUUAAAAUUUUCAUGUUCCAAAUGAAGAUUGCCCAUUAAAAAAUUACACACAUAAUGUAUGUAAACCAAUUAAAACAGAAAAACAAGGAUAACCCAGAAACAAUCCAACCAUCAAUAACAUAAAACUUUUUGUAAAUCUGGUAAAGUGAAUGAGAAGCAGAACAUACAUUUCACUUAAUAAUGAAAGAUACAUCUUUUAAUCAGUUUUUGCUCUCGCUUUAUUCUUGUGCUUCCUUCCAAUAACAAUUCAUAAUGCAGGUAGGUAUCUUAAAAAAUUAUAUCAUACAUUUCUCUUAUCAAAAGAAAUACAGUUGAUUAAUUGAACUGUAUUUCUAAAAAAAUUAUAUCAUACAAACAUGUCGUUUAUUAAUUGAAUUGUGGUCAUUAAUACACGCACACACAUGUAUGCUUAUGGUACAGUCACACCGAAUCUGUUAUAGACUAAUUAAAUACAAUAUGUUUUUACCAAAGUUGGUUAGUGUGAGUGGUUCGGUACUCUUACUCCUUAAGAGAGGUCAGGGGUUCAAGCCCCGCUCUCGUAUGGAAUCACCACUUUGGCCAGCACUUUACCCUUUACGGGCCAACCCGGUGAGAGCGGGGAUUAGUCUGGGUUGUGGUACGGACUUAAAGGUGCCUCCCACAGUUGGGGCACACUCAGAACCACCUUGUGGUUCAGACCAAAAAAAGUACAAUAUGUUUCUUUUACUAGCUAUAUGAUUGGAUCUUCAUUAAUGACCGAAGAAGAAAUUAUAACAACCCAUGCAAGUAUUAGUACUUCUCCUAAAGCUAAUAUUAAUGAAACAAAACAACUUCAAAUAUUUCCCAAUAAGCCACUAGAUCAGGAUCAAGUCCACAAUUCAAUAUUCCACAUGAUUUUUCCAUUUCAUCUGCAAUUACUAGAUUAAAAGGUAAUAAAAUUAAUUACUUAUCAUGCAUUCUAAAUCAUCCUUAAAUUUAAUAUGUUGGGUUCCAGCUGUAGGCAAAACUUUGGAUAAGUACAGAAAAAAAAUUAAAAAUGAGUAAAAAUGAAAAAGGAAGAAAAUAUCGAUCAAACCUCUUGUUCAAACGGAGGGGCGGCUAGUUUUUCCUUAAUACAAGUACAAAUUAUAUCAUACAUUUGUAAAACAAUUAUAUCGGUCUUAAUUCAUAAUGCAGGUAGGUAUUCUAUGAUCCAUCUAAUCUUUCUACACUUUUUUUUUGGUACUAGAAAAGCGAUAUUUAUAACGUAUCUCAAAAGAAAUACGGUCAAUUCUUACUGUUUUAGGAUAUAGUAUUUAAUUUGCAUUCAAACAUUUUCUCAUUUCAGCAAAGAUCCUAAAAAUUUAUUUUUUUAAUUCAAAUAUAAAUAUUAAAAAAAUCAGAUAUAAGUAUAAAAAAUAAUUUUUUUUUAAAAAAAGUUUUCAUAUGUUUAACAAUCAACGCUAAGGAACAUGAAAAGGAGCUAUUAAAACCCCGAAAAAAGAAUAAUUUUGAAACUAAAUACAAUUAAUUGAGAGAUGAGGACCAUAAGAUAAAUUGGGGAUAAAAACUAAAAUAUCAGCCCCUCGUUGCUGAUAGUUAUGAGUAUGAAAGCACAGAAGCCGUGUCUUGAUAAGUAUGGAGUUCGUGCGGAAUUUUCAGCUAGAAGUCUACAAAGCAGUGGAAUUAAUCAAUCAUCGUGGAGUGCACGGUGGUUGGACCAUGAGAUGAAAUUGAAAAGUUAUCACGGAACUUGAAGGAAGGUUCAUGGCAUCGAUUUAUUCUACAGAGUCACGCACAUUUGGUUCAAUAAUUGUUUUCAUCCGAAUCAAAAUCUCUCUCUAAUCAAUUCAACUGUUUCUGUUGAUUAUGGCUUCUUCUUCUCGAAACAACAAGAAGUAUGAUGUUUUUGUUAGUUUCAGAGGAGAGGACACCCGGGACAACUUUACUAGCCAUCUCUAUUCUGCUCUGUGUCGACAAAAUAUCCAAACUUUCAUUGAUGACCAACUUAACAGAGGAGAUGAAAUUUCGGAGUCACUUGCGAAUGCAAUUGAAGCAUCAGCCGUUUCAGUUAUCGUCUUCUCAGAGGGGUAUGCAUCUUCCAGAUGGUGUCUCGAUGAACUUGUAAAGAUCCUCGACUGCAAGAAGGAGUAUGCACAGCUUGUGAUUCCGGUUUUCUAUCGGGUUGAUCCAUCAGACGUGAGAAACCAAACUGGGAGUUUUGGAGAUUCAUUUUCGAAGCUUGAAGAAAGAUUAAAGGAGAAUACUGAGAAGCUGCGGAGUUGGAGGAAAGCUUUGAAGGAAGCAGCCAGUUUGUCUGGCUUUCAUUCUCUUAACAUCAGGUGAAAAGUUACUUUUAAUUUCGCAUACUAAUAUUCAACACUGUAAAUAAAAUUCACGCAGCACUCUUAGUUAAAUUUCCAGAUGCUAAACUACACUUUUAAAUUUUUUCAUGCGUCAAAUUCUAGACUUCUUGAACUUCCCCACUUUUGAACUAUAAAAGAAUUUUUGCAGAAUUGAUAAUACAAAAGCUCCAGAAGUUUACAAUAUAUUUUAACAAAAUUAAUGGUGUUCUGUCGUUUUUUAAUCAAUUUCAAUCUCUUACUCAUAUACCAAUAGGAAAAAAAAAAUCUCUUCCACAUAUAACAUAUUCCUGUAAUUAAAGAGUUAUUAAUUUAUAGGGAGAUUGUAAAUUCCCUUACUCAAAUUAAUAUAUGAGUAUUGAUAUAGCCACAAAUUCUUGUACAAAAUCAUUUUGCACAAACUGAUGUGGUGUUAAUUCAUUGGUUGAAUUAAAUAUCUCUUGGCCCACAUGAUUUAUUUCUAUUAUUUUAUAUUUUCAUUCAACCAAUGAAUUAAUGACACAUCAGUUUGUAUAAAAUAAGUUUGUACAAGAGUUUGUGGUUGUAUCAUCACUCUUAAUAUAUACCACUUAUUCUGACUAUUUUUACAAUAUUUAAUAACUCUCCUGGUACCAUCACUUUGCAAUAUUAUCCUUCUGAAAAAAAAAUAAGUGGUAUAUAUUAAUUUCAAUUGGAAAACUAGCAAUCUCCCUUAUUUCAUAUUUGAUGCAAAUCCCUCCUAUUUGAAGCUACUGCUGCUAAUUUUAUGUAUUUGGCAGGCCUGAAUCAGAACUUAUAAACGAAGUUGUUAAUCACAUUUUGAAGAGACUGAUGGAAGAAGUGUUUCGGCCGCGUGAUAACAAAAGCCAGCUGGUUGGAGUAGAAUCAAGAGUUGAGGAAAUUGAAUCUCUACUAAGUGUUGAGUCGAAAGAUGUUUACGCUUUAGGGAUUUGGGGCAUUGGUGGUAUAGGCAAAACAACAAUCGCUAGAGCUACUUUCGACAAAAUCUCUAGCCAUUUUGAAGGUUCUUGCUUCCUUGAAAAUGUUAGAGAAGAGUCACAAAAACCGGGAGGAUUAGCUUGCUUGCGACAAAAACUUCUUUCAAAUUUAUUGAAAGAUAAAAAUGUGAGUCUUGAUAUUGGUCUCAAUUUUAGGAGGCUCAGCCGCAUGAAGGUUCUGAUUGUUUUUGAUGAUGUGACUUGCUUCAGCCAAUUAGAAUCUAUAAUUGGAAGUCUUGAUUGGUUGACGCCUGUGAGUCGAAUCAUAAUAACCACCAGAAAUAAACAAGUGCUUAGAAAUUGGGGGGUGAGUAAAAUAUAUGAGAUGGAGGCAUUAGAAUAUCAUCACGCUCUUGAGCUUUUCAGUCGACAUGCCUUCAAACAAAACCAUCCUGACGUUGGUUACGAGGAAUUUUCAAGCAAGGUAAUGAAAUAUGCUCAAGGUGUUCCUUUAGCUAUUAAAGUUUUGGGUUGCUUUCUAUAUGAAAGAGAAAAGGAAGUCUGGGAAAGUGCAAUAAAUAAAUUGCAAAGAAUCCUCCAUCCAAGUAUCCUAGAGGUAUUAAAAAUAAGUUACGAUAGUUUGGACGAUAAGGAGAAAAAUAUUUUCCUUGAUGUUGCUUGUUUCUUUCAAGGCGAGGAUGUAAAUCUAGUAAUGAAAUUCCAUAAUGCAAGCGGUUUCUACCCAGAAAUAGGAAUAAGCGUUCUUGUUGAUAAAUCUCUCAUUGCUAUUGGUUCAUACAACAAGAUAAGAAUGCAUGAUUUACUACAAGAGUUGGGUAGGGAAAUUGUUCGACAAGAAUCUAUUAAUCCUGGAAAUCGCAGUAGGUUGUGGCAUCAUGAGGAUAUCUAUGAAGUUCUUACAUAUAACACGGUAAGCAGUUUGUUGUGGAUAAUUAUUUUGAAAUAUUCUAGCAUUUACAAACUUGAUAUGAAUAUAUUUAUAUAUGCUCGAACUGAUGAGUCUUAGAAUUAAUAGAAGAGCAACAAUGAUUAGAAAAAACCAUAUCCGUUAGAUGACGUAGCAAUAAAUUAUAAAUGCCAUGACAACUUGCAUAAUCGUUUGCAAGCAUAAUUGAUAUGCAAUUUGUAUGGUACACAGACGGAAUUUUUAUAUUAAGUAUUACUUGUGUUAUUAUGUUUCUUUGUGCAUUUGCAAUUAAAAGUUUAACUGCCUAGCAAUAACUAAAAACAUGAAUUAUUGAUUUGAGAAAUGAUGAAGAGUCCACUCCAAUCCCACAUAAACUCGACUAAAUAAUAAAUAAAAAGUUGAAUUAUUAACUAAGCUACCUCUAAUUGUGAAUUAGUGAGAAACUUGCCCCAAAAAUUUGACUUGGUGGGGUUGAAGUGCGAUUCAUUGGUGGAAUACACAUAUCUUUCAUUUGAUUUUAACUUUAUUGCUUUUUCACUUAUUUUCAAGGGACAGAAAAAAUUGAGGGCAUAUGUUUGGAUAUGUCAAAAGUAAAAGAGCUCCGUCUAAAUCCCAAUACUUUCACAAAGAUGACUAAAUUGAGAUUUUUAAAGUUCUAUACUUCAUUAUUCAAUGGAGAGAACAAAUGUAAGAUGUCUUAUUUGCAAGACCCUGGAUUUGCUGAAGUGAAAUAUCUUCGCUGGCAUGGAUAUCCGUUGAAGUCAUUUCCCUCAAACCUCAGUGCAGAGAAGCUUAUGUUACUUGAAGUGCCUGAUAGUGACAUUGAACAACUUUGGGAUUGUGUGAAGGUAUGCAUAUCUUAUUAUAUAUGUGCAAUCUCUCAAUAACAACAUUAAAUUAUUAUACGUGGUAACGGUUUUGUCUUGGCCUCUUUUUUGACCGAGCAGCAUUAUAGUAAGUUAAACCAGAUAAUCCAUGCUGCCUGCCAUAAGCGAAUUGCCAAAAUUCCAAAUCCCACGUUGAUGCCACGUCUGAACAAGCUAGUUACGUUGAAUCUAAGAGGUAGCAAAAGCCUGAAAAGUCUUCCAUCUGGAAUAUUUAACUUGGAAUUUCUUACCAAACUUGAUCUUUCGGGCUGCUCAAAACUGAAAAGGCUUCCAGAGAUCUCAUCAGGUAAUAUAAGCUGGUUAUUUUUUAGGGGGACUGCAAUUGAAGAACUACCCUCAUCAAUUGAGCGUCUACUUAGGGAACAUUGCAUACCUGAGGCAGCAAUAACACUUCCAACAAAGUUACCUAUAAGCACAGUUGGCUUCUUAACAACUUCAUCCAAGAAAUCCAAUAUUAGCUGUAUCAGUGAAUCUCACUCAAGUUAGCAAGGAAAAUAACUAAAGGUCAAGCGAUUGAUGACAAAAGAUCCAACUUCUGGCUAGGGAACAUUGCAUACCUGAGCCCAUCCCUCCAUGGUAUAUGAAUAACCAGCUGGCUUAUCUGAAGCACCAAAUCCAAGAAGGUCAAUUGCAUAAACCGUGUAGCUCUUUGCCAGGGUGCCAAUAUUCCUGAAAUUACCUCAGAGAUGACAAGAAAAAUAUCAAUUCCUCACGUUAUUUAAUAGGAUAAAGGAAUGGUGCACAAGCAAAUUUUCAUUCCCCUUUUCAAUGGAGCAGUAAAAUGAAUACUUUUUCACUAGAUUAAGAAUCGGAAAAUGGAAGAAGCCUAUAUCCAUAAAAGGGUAAUAUGAAAUGGAACCCUGAAACUCAGGUCACCGGUUUCUCAUCAUCUAUGUGCAAGGAAUAGAACUAGGUGUUAAUGCCAAUGAACCAGGAAAUAACGAAGAGAUUUAACUUCAUUAUUCUUUUGCUUCAUUCAUCUUAAUUAAUUAUUAGAAGUAUAACACAUAUAAAUGCAUCCCUGAACUUCAUAAUACAUAACAGAGUCAGAGAUAUUACAUACAUAAGGGAAAGACAUGCUCCAUACCAAAAAAAAAUAUAGUCGAAAAUGCCCAGAACGUAAUUUGAAUUAACCCGCUACACAAUUCACAACAAGAAAGAGCAAUCUUAUCUCGCUAACCUGCGCCAGUGAGGAAUGGAGGCACCAAAGCCAUGGACAAGGAGUAGAGGAGGAGAAUUGGGAUGUGAAUUUGGACUUGAAGAAACCAAGUAAUUGAUGGAGUACUGACCCUUCCAUUUCCACAUUUUGCAACUCUCCCUUACCUCAUUAACCUCCAAUUCCAGUGCAGCAGAAGCAGAAUCCCCUCCACUGCUACUGUUAGUAUAACUGAUGGUAACAUUUUGUCUCUUCUUCUUCUCCUUAUUCCUCUGCUGGAACUGCAACUGAAACUGCCAACUCUUAUUGCUCAAUAGGGGCAAGCGCAGGCCUUUUACAUCUCCAUUUCCAUUUCCAAUCCUGAGUGUUGUUAUUGGAAUAAUGAAAGAGGGAGCCCGAGCCCUUACCAUCCACACGCUCAUUCUUUUCUUGCUUUUUCAAUUGAAUAUUUUCUGUGGCCUGGCUUGGCCUGCUCCUCCCCUGCUUCCAC